rnacentral:lncRNA from 1 species
UUCCCUCAUCCUUAUUCACUUUUAAGCAGGCAAAAGGUGCAACUGACAUGGCCUAAUUUUAAAAUUCAAAGUGAAGAGUAAUGCUAUAACCAUGAGGAGGUGAUUGUUCGGAUGAUAAGUACCCUCUACCUUCAAUACUAAGAUAGUGGAUUCAAGUCACCAAGUGAACAUAAAAGUUGGAAGCUCCUACGAGAGAUCGAAAAAAAAAACUCACUAAGUCAAGACAAAGAAAGAACUUGGUUGAUUGAACUUAUUGUCAUUUUCGAAAAACAGAGGAAAAGGACACGAGGGAAGACAAGUUUAUUAGAGUGACUUACAUGAAGCCAUUUGUGAGUAGUUCUCUUGAAGCCAGUUGCAAAGACAAUAACAUCAAAUUGAUGACAUUUACCAUUCUCCAACACAACAUCAUUUCCUCUAAUGCUUCUCAUUCCAGGUAACACCUGUCACCAUCAUUUUCUUUUUAUUACUUUCUGCAUGAACAUUUACUCUUCUUUUUCUGUUGCUUUUCUUUUAAGGUUUGAAAAAAAAAAAAAAUUGAAUUCCAAUACCAAAUAAAAUAAUAUGUAUGUACAUGCAUAAAAUGUAUCGAUAAUUAUGGUACAAUGACAGCAACAACAUUCAUACUCAGUAAAAUCCCACAAUUGAAGUCUGAAGAGGAUAGAGUGUAAGUGGUUGUUUUCGAAAGACCCUCGAUUCAAGUGAAUAUUGAUAAUUACAUUAUUUACCUGGAUUUCACCAGACUUGAUCUUUUGAUAAGUUCCCACGUCAAUGACUGGGUACUUGCCAUACUUUAUUUUAGAAGCAAAGGGUCCCUCUUCAGGCCUUUUCACCCCAUAAUACUUGCUUAUAUCUCCAUACAUUAUCUUGCUUAACAUCACCAUUAUGUUGUCCACCACUGUGUAUGCAACCUUAUACUUCAACAACAUCAGUCCCAAAUAUGCCAUUUCUCUUGAUAUCAAGUUUAUCUGUGAUGAGAUCAUGCAAAUUUUGAAACAAAAAUUCUGUAAUUAUUGAAAUGAGACGAGGUCGGUUCAUGAAGGGUAAAGCCAUUAAAGCAAAUUGUCAAUAUAAAAUAUAUUGGUUCACUUGACCUGAUGAUGAGAAACAAGGUUCAAGUGCUACUAGUGCCACCAAAUUGCAAGUCUUAGUAACGAAAAAAUAGAUUAAUAAGAAACUAAAAUUAAAUUAAUUAUUUAAUUACCGGGCUUCGAACGAUGAUGGAAGUGUUAGCACCAUAAUUAGCAAGAUCAAGUGCAAUUUCCAUGCCAGAAUUUCCACAACCAACAACCAAUACAUUUUUACCUCUAAAAUUGUCACCAUUUUUGUACUUAGUAGAAUGAAAAGCCUUUCCUUUGAAACUUUCCAAGCCAGGGACCUUAGGGAUAAAAGGGUAACUAGCUUCUCCAGUAGCUACAACAAGAAAUUUACAAAAAUACUCAUCAACAUGACCAGAAUUACCAUUUCUAACCUUCACAACCCAUUUUCCUUUGGAUUCAUCAAAUUUUGCAAACUCAACUGUUCUUUUGUACAAAGGGGUGAUAUUAAAAUAAGAAACAUAGUCAUCCAAGUAUUGAAUGAAUUCUUUUUUAGGUAUAUAAGUAGGUGAAGAAGAAGGAAAAGGAAUGUGAGGAAGUUGACAAAAUUUUUUGGCUAAAUGAAGGUGAACUCUAUCAUAGGUAUAUUUUUUCCAUAUGGGAGAGUAACAAUCUUCUUUUUCAAGAAGUAGAUUUGGUAUGGAGAAUUUUUUUAGACAUGCAGAUGUGGCUAGGCCAGCAGGGCCAGCACCAACAAUGAUCACCAUAGGUUCUUGAUGAUCAUGAUGAGUUAGUAUUGCCAUGGUUGAAGUGAAAUUGAUCACAUAGAAAUGAGAAGAAAAUUUGUUGGGAUGGAGAGAAAAAAGAAGAUGGAUUUAUAUAUACAAGGAAUUGUUAAGUACUAGGUGAGAACUUUUGGACUCCUAAAUUCUUUCUUGACUAUUUGAGUGUUUAUUUAUGACGACUUCAUCUUUCUUUUCCUUUGUUUGCUUGAUUUGUUAAAUUAGGUUGACGCUGAUGGAGAGGGGGUGUCCAGUAAAUCUCAAUGGUACCAAGAUAAAAGCCACUUGGCAUUGGCGGCAGAGGCGAACCAGGAUUUGAAGAUAGAGGGUUCACUAUUAUCUUUUAUAUGGUCAUGUCUAUUAACUAUAUAAUUUGGCAUAUAAUUUUUUUAAAUUUAAAAAUUAUAAUUAUGAUCAAAGUAUAAACUUCAAAAUCAUCAAAUAACGUUAAUUUAGUACUAAUAUAACAAAAGUAGACUAUUCUUUCAUACUGGAUAUCGACGCAUUUUCAUAUUCUGAAAACGGUCAAUGAUUGCAUCGUUGCUUAUAUUUACAAAUACAUCCUUCUCAAUGUAACAAACUAAAUAAUCAAUUAAAAAAUGCAUCACAAAUACUACUACGCAACUCAUUCUUGAUAUGCUCCAUGGAUUAAAAAGCUCUCUCUACAGUUACAGCAGUAGCGAGAGAAUUGAAAAGGCUAUCAGUUGAGUGUGCGUGUUCUAACGUAUAUUUAGUAGUCGCUUGGUUAUGAAAAUUAUUUUCUUUUUUUUGAAAAAUUAUUUCACUUUAGUGAAAAAAGUGAAAACAAGAUGGGUUUGGCCAUCAAAAUUUCAAAUAUAAUUCUGGGAUUAUAUUUGGAAAAGUAAAAACAAGUUUUACUUGUUUUUACUUUUUUCACUCAUAUUUCUCUCACAAAAUUUUAAAAACAACUUUAAUUUAUAUUUAUGGUCAAACACAACUCUAAUUUCCAUUUCAACUCUAACUUCAACUCCAAAAAAUUAUGAUUUUCAUGGCCAAACGAGGUAUACUUGGCUUGAAGAGAACUUGGGAAAAUUGUAAAUUUUAGGGAUUUGAUGUUGUGGGCUUGGUGGUUUUGGGUUUGGGAUGGGUGAAUCUCAAAAAUAGACCCAAUUUGGGGUGGCUUUCAAAUUUUAGCCCCAAAUAAAAAAGUUUCCUCAAAAUAGCCUUUACCUAUUAGCUAAUAUUUUUUUGGAUAAAAUUACCUCUAAUCAAUGGAGUAAAUUACAUAAAUGAUCCUCAUAAUGCAUAACAACUCCAUAUUUAUAUCUUUCAACUUUUUUUUCUCUUUUUAAUUUUACAUUGAUUUUUAUUUUUUCUUUUCUCUUUUUAUUUUUAAUUUUCUCAACCCUUACUUUUUUCCUGUUUUCCUCUCAACUUCUUUUUUUUUCUAUUUUAUUUUAUAUUUUUAUUAUUUUUUAUUUUUUUUUCUCUACCUUUAUUUUUAUUUAAUGUUUCUUUUUUUAAUCAACCUUUAUUUUUUCCUAUUCUCUCUCAACUUCUACAUUUUCUUUUAAUUUUAUUUUUUUAAUAUUUUUCUUCAUUUUCUUCUGUUUCCACAAUUUUAUUAUUUUUGUUCUUUUCUUCGAUUUCUUCAAUUCAAGUUAUAUCUCAUGAGCAAAAGUUGACACUAUCACAUUAUAAAGGAAAGAUUUAUGACUUUCGAACAAUAAGUUACCUUUCAUGGGCAAGAGUUGACAUUACUACAUUGUAGAGGUAAGACUUAUGACUUUCAAAUAACAAGUUAUGUUUCAUGAACAAAAGUCGACACUACCACAUUGUAUUUUGAUUUAUGGGAUGUUCUACAACUAUUGUCUUAGAGACGAGACUUAGCUCAAGGACUUUUAAACAACAAAUUAUGCCCCACGGGCAAGAGUUGACUCUACCACAUUAUGUUUUCAUUUAUAAGAUGUUCUACGACUAUUGCCUUAAAGGCAAGACUUGGCUCAAAGACUUUCAAACAACAAGUUAUGUUUUAUAGGCAAGUCGACACUACCAUAUUGUAUUUUGAUUUAUGGGAUGUUCUACAACUAUUGUCUUAGAGACGAGACUUAGCUCAAGGACUUUUAAACAACAAAUUAUGCCCCACGGGCAAGAGUUGACUCUACCACGUUAUGUCUUCAUUUAUAAGAUGUUCUACAACUAUUGCCUUAGAGGCAAGACUUAGCUCAAGGACUUUCAAACUACAAAUUAUGCCCUACAGGCAAGAGUUGACACUACCACGUUAUGUUUUUAUUUAUGAGAUGUUUUACAACUCUUGCCUUAGAGGCAAGACUUAAUUAGCUCAAGAACUUUCAAACUACAAAUUAUGCCCUACGAGCAAGAGUCGACACUACCACAUUGUAUUUUGAUUUGUGGAAUGUUCUACAACUAUUGUGUUAGAGGCAAGACUUAGCUUAAGGACUUUUAAACAACAAAUUAUGCUCCACGGGCUAGAGUUGACUCUACCACGUUAUGUCUUCAUUUAUGAGAUGUUCUACAACUAUUGCCUUAGAGGCAAGACUUAAUUAGCUCAAGGACUUUUAAACUACAAAUUAUGCCCCACGGGCAAGAGUUGACACCACCAAGUAAUGCUUUUAUUUAUGAAAUGUUCUACAACCCUUGCCUUAGAGGCAAGACUUAAUUAGCUCAGAGAUUUUUAAACUACAAAUUAUGCCCCACAGGCAAGAGUUGACUCUACCACGUUAUGUUUUCAUUUAUGAGAUGUUCUACAACUAUUGCCUUAGAGGCAACACUUGAAUCAAGGACUUUCAAACUAUAAAUUAUGCCCCACGGGCAAGAGUUGAUACUACCACGUUAUGUCUUCAUUUAUGAGAUGUUCUACAACUAUUGCCUUAGAGGCAAGACUUNNNNNNNNNNNNNNNNNNNNNNNNNNNNNNNNNNNNNNNNNNNNNACUACCACGUUAUGUCUUCAUUUAUGAGAUGUUCUACAACUCUUGCCUUAGAGGUAAGACUUAAUUAGCUCAAGGACUUUCAAGCUACAAAUUAUACCCCAUGGGCAAAAGUUGACUCUACCACAUUAUAUUUUUAUUUAUGAGAUAUUCUACAACUAUUGCCUUAGAGGCAAGACUUAGCUCAUGGACUUUUAAACUAUAAAUUAUGCCCCGCGGACAAGAGUUGACACUGCCACGUUAUGUCUUCAUUUAUGGGAUGUUCUACAACUCUUGACUUAGAGGCAAGACUUAGCUUAAGGACUUUCAAAUAAUAAAUUAUGCUCCACGGGCAAGAGUUGACACUACCACAUUAUGUCUUCAUUUAUGAGAUGUUCUACAACUCUCGCCUUAGAGACACGACUUAUCUCAAAAAAUUUUAAAGAAUUUCGUGACAACAAUUUAUGCCCUUAAAUUUGCUUUGAUGUCAAAAAAAGAAGAUACCUUUGUGGAUUAUUCAUUUUUUUAUUUAUUAAUAAAAUAUAAUAGAAGUUGAGAAAAAAGAAAAAAGCGAUCAAACAAAAUAGAAAAAUAAAAAAAAGUUUUAGAAAGAAAAGGAAAGAAAAAAAUAAAGAUCAAGAAAAAAAUGAAGAAUUAAAAAAAUUGAUAAAAAUAAAAAUGAGAGGAAAAAUAAAAAUAAAGUUUGAGAAAAAUGAGGGGAAAAAAGAGAACAGAAAAAAGAAAAAAGCGAUCAAACAAAAUAGAGAAAUAAAAAAAAGUGAGAAAAAAAAGGCAAGAAAAAAUAAAGAUUAAGAAAAAAGCGAAGAAUUAAAAAAAUUGAGAAAAUAAAAAAUGAGGGGAAAAAAUAAAAAUAAAGUUUGAGAAAAAUGAGGGGAAAAAAAGAGAACUGAUAAAAAAUAAAAAUAAAAGAAAAAUAAAGGUUAAAAAAAAUGAAUUAAAAAAAGAAAAAAAAAAGAGAUAAUGCUUGAGAAAAAAAUAAAGGUUGAGACAAAUGAAUUAAAACAUGAAAAUAAAAUUAAAGAAAAAAAAUAAAAAGUAAAAAUAAUAAAAAUAGAAUAAUAAAACUAAAGGAAAAAAUAAAAAAGUGCAAAUAAUAAAAAAAUAGAAUAAUAAAAUUAAAGGAAAAAAUAAAAAGUGAAAAUAAUAAAAAAUAAAAUUUGAGAGAUAAAUAAGUAUGAAAAGUUUAAAAAAUAUAUUUGAGGUGUAGAGGGACAAAAUGGUACUUGUACUAUACUUAAAAAGUAAGGAAGAUUAUUUUUUAAAUACAUUUUUUAUUGGGAUCAAAUAUCUAAAGUCACCCAUAUUUGGAUUUAUGACAUGCAAUUUCCUUGUUUGGGAUUGGAGAAUUGUCAUGGCCCAUAGGUUUAUUAAAUAAGAAUAUACAUUAAAUUAAUUUAAAUGGCUGGAGUAUUAAUUUUAGGGAUUUGAUUUUGUGGGCUUGGAAGUUUUGGGUUUGGGAUUAGAGAAUUGUCAUGGCCUAUGGGUUUAUUAAAUGUGUAAACAACAUAAAUCCCCUAGUUAAUGAAACUAAUUACACAAAAUUCCUUCUUGUUUUCUCUUUCCCGAUUUUUGCAAAGAUACUCAAACAUUCGGCCUUCUAUUAUACAUUGGUUGAAUGUAUGAUGAAAUAGCUAAUCCUAAAUUUAAGGUAAAAGAUAUCAUAAAUUAUUUUACAGUCCUUAAUUAACGACAAUAAUUAGCUAAUAUUAACUCGUUUAUAGAUAAAACUAGUAACUGAUGUUUGAAUUUCAAAAAAUUUCUUAAACAUUAAAUUUUUUAAUUUUUUUCUGGGAAUCACGAUCUGGAAAGUCAAAAACAACCAAUUUCUUCUACAUACAUUCUUCAAUACUACUAAAAUCAAUAUGAAUAUCACCAUAUUGUUGCGACAUUCUGAAAUUUGGGAGUCAGAAAUUAGUUAUCAGUCAUACAAAGGUGACGCAAUAAUUGUUUCAAAAAGUAUAACUUUCUUGAAAUUGGUUGCUACGAUCGCCAUGGAAUUGGAUAUCGACGAAGUACGUAAAAAAACUAAAGUUAAAUAUGUGGUUGAAGGAAAUUCUUCUCCAAUUGUCAUAAGGAACGAUAAUGGAGUGAGGGUUUACGUUGAGUUGAAGAAAUAAUUUUCUGGAUUGGUUAAUUUUCCGCUUUGUAUUUCCACUUUCGACAAAUUCAAUAAGGAAAUACAAUUUGAUAAAGAAGCAAGUGUUGUAUUGUGUAUCGAUUUUAUUGCUGAUCUUAUAAUCUAUGGUAAUAUGGUUUUAGAGGUUUAGAAGAAGUUUAUAUUCUAAAGUUGGGUCCUGUGUUGCUGAAACUCAUAAAGGUACGAAUGUAUAAUGUGUUAUUAUACAUUCAUGCCAAUGAAUAAUGAAACUGUGUCAGUCCAAGAAAUGUAUGGUAAUAUGAUUUUCAUUCUGAAGUAGUUUGUGUUUUAUAGUUGGGUUUUGUGUAGUUGAAUAAUUAAAUUACGAAUGUAUAAUAUUUGAUUAUACAUUCGGACAAAUGUAUAAUGAAAACUCAAGCAGUGGCCAAGAAUUUUAUUUUGUCCAUAUAUAUAUUUUUUUAAUACUUUUGUUUAAUACAUUGACUCAGUGUGAAAAAAUUGAAGUUAUGUACUGAAUUGUCGCAGAAAAAAUUGCAAGUGAGUCUUGAAGACGUCUUCUAUGAAUGAAUCGGAAAUGUGCCUAGCAAUAUGGCUAAUGGGCUGCAGAUCUAGGCCAUCCAGUAAAAUGGUCUCUAUAUGGCCAGGCCAAUUGCCACAAACUAAUUUUACUCUUUCACCAAUUGCAUCAUCUACUAUCCGUCUAGAACUUAUUGAUAAUGGUAAACAAUGAGAAAAAGUUGCAAAGGAACAAAGAAAAAUAAAUAUUGUGACUAAUUUCAUCAUAUUUUUAUUCAAAGAGUAUCAAAGAACAUAAGUCAAGGGUCUAUCAUAAAUAGUGAUUACACUUAUGAAAUAAAGUUGGUUAUGUUGAACGAAAAGAAUUGAUUGAUUUCGUAUAGUUAUAGAAGUAGUUAAUGUUGAUGUGAUCGGACAAAACAAAAUUUAUCUCAAAAACUAAUCCUUAUCUGAUCUAUUGAGGAGAAUUUUGUUCGAAUUAUAAGUGGUAAUAGCUUAAAAGAAUUUGUAUCCUAUCAGGUUAUGUAAAAGACUAUACUUAAUUUAUCANNNNNNNNNNNNNNNNNNNNNNNNNNNNNNNNNNNNNNNNNNNNNNNNNNNNNNNNNNNNNNNNNNNNNNNNNNNNNNNNNNNNNNNNNNNNNNNNNNNNNNNNNNNNNNNNNNNNNNNNNNNNNNNNNNNNNNNNNNNNNNNNNNNNNNNNNNNNNNNNNNNNNNNNNNNNNNNNNNNNNNNNNNNNNNNNNNNNNNNNNNNNNNNNNNNNNNNNNNNNNNNNNNNNNNNNNNNNNNNNNNNNNNNUUUUAGAGUCCUAGUUAACAGAUAGUAGAUUGGUAUGGAAUAGUAAUAGAUAAGACUAUAAAAUAUAUUUGUAUAUCAUGUAGAUCGCUUCAAAUUGUGACCUAUUAUUUACUUAAUCGGCAUCAAGUUAAGUGAUAUUUUUGCUUCUUGGGAGUCAAUUAAACAGAUAAGAUCAACUCAAUAUUACUAAAAUUAUAUAUUCAAAAAUUAUGUAAAAAAUAUAAUAAGUUGCAACUCAAUUCAUGUCAAUAUAACAUACCCAAUGCAAUUCUACAUGUAGGCUCCUAUCAAAAAAAUCUCUUGAACUCUACUAAACAUUGGCUGACACAAACUUGAACCAUUGAGUUUGAGAAUUAUCAAUACUUUUUUCAUCUAAGCCAACACAUUUCCUAACCAAAACUUUAGAUGAAGAAUAAUAAGUAUCAUAAUCCAAACACAACUCCUUCCCAUUCUCAUCAAUAUUGAAAGUUGAUAAUUUGAAGCAAGUUUUCAUGUAUUUUGCUCAUUGCAAUCUAAAAAUAACAGUUAAACCUGUAUGAGGGUAACUAUACAUCUAAAAAUUUAAAUCAGGACCAUAAUUAAACAACAAAUACAAAUGUAUGAUGGUUAUUUAUACAUCUAACAGUUUAUAUCAGACCCUAGAUAAAUAAUAAUUACACAUGUAUGAGGGUAACUUACACAUCUCAAAAUUAAUAUCAAACCUAAUUAAGAAACAGAUAUACAUGUAUGUGGGUAGCUUACACAUUUAAAAAGUAAAUUGUUGUAAUGUAUAAUGUCACCUUAUACAAAAUUAAUACUUUAUAUCUGUUUCUUUUUUCAUAACUGUCAAUGUAUAACCUAUAGAAAUAUAUUUCACAACACCUACAUUAUACAUUAGUGGGAUGAAAUAGCUAAUGUAUAAUGUCUUAUUAUACAUAUGUCAACUUAUACAUAAACUCAUAAUCAAUAUCUUCGGAAGACGUGGUCGACCGGAAUCAUCAAACUUCUUCUUACUUGCCGCUUUAGAACCUGGCUUCUUUGAUCUAGAACUAGCCGCUUUCUUCAAUUUCUGCAUUGUUGCCGGUUCAUUUCGAUGCUUUGAACGAUUCUCUGCGAAAUUAGAUUCUUCGAAAUCAAAUGUACCAGGAACAAACCCAAUGGGAAUAUCUUGUUUUUGAGAAUCUAACUGACUAAGUCCUAAACUAAAGUUAGGACGAGAAUCCAUUACCAAUUUUACACUAAAUCGAUUAAGCAAAAGCAAGUACAAACCAAGAAAAUAAAAAAAUCUUAUAUGAAGAAAAACGAAAAAUUCAAACUACGAAAGUUGAAUAUACUUGCAAAAUACAGUAAUUUCAUAGAAACGAACAUGCAUUCAGAGAAUAAAUGAAACAAAUCCUAAAUUGGUAAAGUUGAAAAAAAAAAAGUAAAUCAAUAAAAUCAAUUAAAGCUUCAAAACUUACAAAUCGAUAACCUCCAAGUAGAUUGCUUGAAUUUUGCCGUGAAAAAGGGGUUUUCAAAUAUGGAGAAAAUAUCAGGUGUAAUGGGAGCAGACGGGGAGCAAAAUACGGAAGAAAAGAUAAUGUUUUAGAUGUAUAAGGUUUAUGAGAGAGAAAGUAACCAAAAAGGGGAUUUAUGUAAUUAGUUUGGGAUUUGUGUAAAUACUUUACCAAAUUGGCAUUUAAUGUAAUAAGGUAACUUUAGUUUGUGUAUAUAUGUAAAUUUUAAUUAUUAAAUAAGAAUAUACAUUAAAUUAAUUUAAAUGGAUGGAGCAUUAAUUGUAAAGGCAAAAACAAAAAAAGGACACUUGCCAGGAAUCGAACCCACAACGUCCCAGGUCAAGAGACCUUUCAUCUGUUUUUCAGACCAAUGCACCCAAAUUACAUUUGAUAUUAUGGGUGCACAAUUUAAUAUAUUACCACGUUUUUACAGUAUAUAUACAUAUAUGUACAAUUUUUUUUAAAAUUACCGGGUGCACGUGCACCCUCACGGAUCCACGUGGGUCCGCCUCUGGUAGCAGCUUAGAGUUUUAAUGGUUUUAGAUGUAUUUGAUUUUUUUUUCACAAAAUAUACCAAAUCUAAAACCCCAAAACCGAUCCCCCCCCCUUUGUUUUUCUUUGUAAAAUUUGAACUCAAAAACCAAAAUGUUGAUAUCAAUAUUUGUUGUUGCAUUAUUGAUAUCAGUAUAGAAUGUAUUAUAAUUUUUGUAAUGAAUAUUCUUAUACAGAAAAUAUUGCAUUUAUCCAAAAUAACUACUAUUAUUACAUAGUCCUAGUUAAUAUUUGAAGUCAAACAAAAUUUUGACCAAUUAUAUAACCUUAUAAUAUUUGUAAGAAUAAUUUCGGAUUUUAAAAUAAUCAAAUUUGAAAAAGAUACUUUAUUUUGAUGGAAAAAAAUUAAUUAAAAAAGAUUAAAUUAUCUUAUAUAAAACUUUAAACAUGCAGAUCAAUAAAAUGAAUUAGGAAUAAAUAUUUCUUAAUAAUAAAAAUAUCAAUAAAAAAUUAUAAUAAUUUUUAUAUUAUGAAAUGUAAAUAUGAGUGACUAAUAAAUUAGAAUAUAUAUAAUCGAAGUAUUACCAUAGAAUGAAUAUUUAUAUGACAAAAAGUAUUUAUGAUUUCAUUCAAUGUAAGACAAUUAAGGAAGCAUGACAAAAUUAAUUGAGAAAUAUAAACAGAAAAUUAAUAAUCAAUUAACAAUUAUAUACAUAUAUAUGGAAAAGAAUAUUGUACCAACUGCAAUUAAUCUAGAAGUUCUAAUGUCAUAACAAUAAAAUCAAUUAGCAGAUAGUAAUCAUUUAACUUAUAUGAAUAAGAUUAUAAUAAUCAAAAAGUCAUUUCAAAAUAAAAAAAUAUAAUGAAAAAGAUGUUGUCCCUGAAAAAAUAUACACAAUUAAUUUAAAUAAUAAUAUUAUUUACAAAAUAUUUAUGAUUUCACUAUAAAUUAGAAAAUCAAGAAAGUAUUAAAAAAAAUUAUUUAGAAAAAAAUAAUUAAUAAUCAAGUAACUUAUAUAAAAAAGAUAAUUAUGAAAAAUGAGUCCUUCCAAAAUAAAAAAAAUAUUAUGAAAAAGAUAUCAUCACUAAAAAUGUGUAUAUAAUUAAUUUAAGUAACAAUCUCUCUCUCUCUUUCUCUCUCUCUCUCUCUCUCUCUCUCAUAUAUUUUGUUUUUUUAUUCUAUUAUUUCAUAUUGUGAUAAAAAAAAAAUUAGAAUUGACUCCUAUUAAUGAACACUAUUAUAAUUAUUUAUAUAUUACUCUUUAUAUAUCAUAAAGCAAAAUGUUUGAUGAAUACUUUUGUUUUUUUAUUCUAUUAUUUCAUAUUGUGAUAAAAAAAAAAUUAGAAUUGACUCCUAUUAAUGAACACUAUUAUAAUUAUUUAUAUAUUACUCUUUAUAUAUCAUAAAGCAAAAUGUUUGAUGAAUUACUUUUGUUUUUUAUUCUAUUAUUUCAUAUUGUGAUAAAAAAUAAUCAGAAUUGACUCCUAUUAAUGAACACUAUUAUAAUUAUUUAUAUAUUUCACAUUGUGGUAAAACAUAAUUAAAUUUGACUUCUAUUUAAUUAGUAUAUAGAUUAUUUCAUAGAUAUGUAAAAAUUUAAAAAAAAUUGACAUAAAAAUUCCGUCAAUUACUCCUAAUUCCACUAUCAUUAGGAGUAAUUCCACAAUUUGUAUUCUAAAUAUAUAUUCCAAUCAAGCUAUAGGAGUAAUUCCAUAAUCUGUAUUCCAAUUUUCAAAUAUAUAGUGCAAUCAAACGAUACUCCUAAUUUCACAAUUUGUAUUCCAAUUUUCAAAUACAUAUUCCAAUCAAUCAAGUGAUUUAAGAUCAUACAAUUGGUAGAUGGAUAUGGUAAGUGAAUUGUAGAUUUUCUUACUCCCAUGGAUGAAAAGUAGAUGGCUAUGGUAAAUGAAUCGUAUAUAUAUUAAAUCAAACCUUUACACUGACAAUCAUUACCAUAUAUGGCUAUGGUAAGUGCUACUAAAUUGUAAUACAACUAACCAUCAUGAGGCCAUAAUUUUAUAUGGAAAAGUAAUAUAUUUUCGUCAUAUAUUCUAAUCAUAGUUGAUUCUAACUAAUUUUGUAAAAAAAAUAUAUAAUUAUAAAAGAAAAUGCAUAUUUAACAUAAUUAUUAUUAGUUAAGACAAGUGUCAUCUUGAGAACUAACUAUUUGAAUUCUUAUAACAAAAAGCUAUCAUUUCAUAACAAGAAGUUAUUUUGUUGAUUAUUUAAAUAUUAAAUAUUAUUUCAUAUUGUGGUAAAAAAUAAUUAAGAUUCAUUUCUAUUAGAGGAAAACUAUUAUGAUUUAAUAUUAUUUCGUUUAAUGUUAUUUCAUAUUUUGAUAAAAAAUAAUUAACAUUCAUUUCUAUUAGAGGAAAACUAUUAUGAUUUAAUAUUAUUUCGUUUAAUGUUAUUUCAUAUUUUGAUAAAAAAUAAUUAACAUUCAUUUCUAUUAGAGGAAAACUAUUAUGAUUUAAUAUUAUUUCGUUUAAUGUUAUUUCAUAUUUUGAUAAAAAAUAAUUAACAUUCAUUUCUAUUAGAUGAAAACUGUUAUGAUUGUUCAAUUAUUUCAUAUUAAGAAUAGUAGUUAAUUAUUUCAUAUUUAUUUUAUAUUGUGAUAAAUAAUAACUAAGUUUUAUUUAUAUUGGAUGAAAAAUAUUAAGAGUCAAGGAACAUUAAUAUUAUAGAUUUAUUCAAAAUUUUCAUAUUAUGGUAUAUAUAAAUCAACUAACUUUGACUAAUAUUGAAUGAAAACUACAAUUACGGAAAGAGAGAUAAUUAUGUAAUCAAUUAAAUAUAAAAAAUUACANNNNNNNNNNNNNNNNNNNNNNNNNNNNNNNNNNNNNNNNNNNNNNNNNNNNNNNNNNNNNNNNNNNNNNNNAUAUUUACAUUUUAAACAAUUUAUACUUGAGUUGUAGGUUAAGAAUUAUAAAUUGCUAAUAAAAUUAUUAAUUCAUAUUAAUUUUCCUUUAUAGAUAGACUUUUUUCAACAUGUUAGGUUAUUCUAUAAAAAAUUUACUAUAUUGUGUAUAAUAUUUCCAUAAAAAAUAAUUUACAUGACAUAAAAUCUCUUUUUUGCCAUAUUAAUGAAUUUUAAAAAAAUAUAAAAGCAAACGAUUUAUAGUAAAUUUCAAUCAAUAUCGAUUAUUUCCUUUUUUAGUUAGAAAUAGUCUUGCUAAUUCUACCUAAACAAUUUAUUACUAAUUUAUUGCUCAAAAAUGGUAAAUUGCUUAUAAAUUAUAAUCUCAAUUAAUUCUCUUUCAUGUAGGGAUUCUUUUUCACAAGUAAACAAACUUAUUCAUUUAAAUCACAGCCUUUUGCGUGACCAAAUUAUUUGAUCAAUUUAUUUAUUUUUACUUGGUUUAGAUUUUUAAGUAAAUAUUAAUAUGAAAAAUUUAUUUCAUAUUUUAAUUAUCACACUAAUUAUAUGAAAUUUAUUAAUUGAUUAGCAGUCAAGCAACAUAUAUGAUAAAAUAAUAUUGUAAUUAAGAGUCAUUUAUAUAUAAAAAUCUCUAUGUAAAAUACUAUAUAUAUAUAUAUAUGUGUGUGUGUGUGUGUGUGUGUGUGUGUGUGUGUGUGUGUGUGUGAAUUCUAACUCCACGAUAUCAAUCUAUGAAAUUAUCUUAAGAAGAAAGCACAGAAAUAAGAACUCGCUCGACUAAGGAGGAGGUUUUAUUCAACUCUUAGUUUAUUUCCACAGAAGAAAGAAAAGACCAUUGUUGUGUACACAUAUGGUUCGAUAAAGAAUUAGUUUUGAACUUUUUGAUUAUUUUUCUCUGAAUACUAUUCACUCACAUACUCACUAUCAUAUUCUAUAAUGAUUUAAUUAUUGUAAUAUAGUUUCUUCUGUAAUUUGUUAAAAAAAAAAUUGAUAUUAAUUGCUUGAGGAUAUGUCUUUUGUUUUUUAAUUUAUUUCUGAGUAGUUGAUGAUUUCUAGAUUAUGAACCCAACUGAUUUUAUUUUCUUAUUUAGUCUUGCUAUUUUUUUUUAUCUUCCAAUUAAUAGUUGCAUUCCCUUUCCUAUAUUUUUCAUACUUCGAUUUUGUUUACAUUUUUGAAAUCUUUAUUAUUGGUAUGAUUAUUCAUUAAACUUAAUUGAUACUACUUUGUUUUUCUAUAUAAUUUUUGGAAAAAAUAAAGAUACGAAAACCUAACAGAAUUACAAAUUAUUGAGUGUCAUUUUGAGAAAAGGUGAAUUUCCCUAUUUGAUUUCAAAUGAGGUUGUGAAUACGUGUGUAUGUGUGUGUGUGUGUAUUGGUAAAAUAUUUAUAUACACAUCUAUAUACAUAAUAAAGUUGUAUAGUCUAGCCUAAAUUUUGAAUUCUUACAACAAAAAACUAUCAUUUUAUAAUAAAAAAGCUAUUUUAUUGAUUAUUUAAAUAUUUAAUAUUAUUUCUUAUUUCAUAUUUUGGUAAAAAAAAUAACUAAUAUUUAAUUCUAUUGGGUGGAAGCUAUUAUGAUUUCAUACUAUUUCAUUUAAUAUUAUUUCAUACUGUGGUUCAAAAAAAUUAAUUCUGUUGGAUGAAAAUCAUUACGAUUGUUCAAUUAUUUCAUAUUAAGAUUAGUAGUUAAUUAUGUCAUAUUAUUGUAUAUUUUUAUUGAUUAUUUAUUUAUUUAAUAUUAUCUCACAUUUCAUAUUGUGGUAAAAAUAAAUGAUUGUUUAAUUAUUUCAUAUUAAGAUUAGUAGUUAAUUAAUUUAUGUUUUGUCGAUUAUUUAUUUAUUUCAUAGCCUUCGUAUGUUUAAAAAAAGUAUGUAAUAUUAGUUGAGUGAUUACUUGGCAUAUAUGAAAAGACAUAUUGAGUAACUCAAUAUGACAGGGUAAUCAAUUACAAUCAAGAGACAUAAUUGGAAAAGUAAUAUUUUAAUUGAGAUGAAAAACUUUUGGUAUUAAUGGAAGGAUGUAAAAUUUUGAAUUCAAAUAAAACAAAAAUACGAAUUUAAUUGAAAGUUAGUUAAAAUUAGAUAUUACUACUAUAUUGAGAUUAAUCCAACUAAUUAAACAAUCUUUGUAUGAAUUUCACUAAUUAUAUUUUUGUAUAAUAGAAAAUAGUUAAUUGUCAAUCUUGAAACAAAUAUUAUCAAAUGGGGAAUAUGAUAAUAUAGAUGUCACCAAUAUGGAUUGUAGUGCAGUGGAUGAGGCUGCUCUACCCUUAACCAGAGGUCGAGGGUUUGACCUUGGGUAUGGAGAAAACUCUGUUGUGAGCGCUGUCACCUUAAUGGGCCCUGCAACGCGCGAUCCGAAUUAGUUGGGGCUCCAAUGAGGGCACCGAACACCGAAUGAAAAAAUAAAAAAAAAAUAUAGAUGUCAUCCCUCAAAAUAUGCAAACAAUAUAAAUAAUGCUAUUAUAUUAAAAAAAAUUAUGAUUUCAUUACAACUGAAUAAAUCAAGAAAGUAUUACAAGAAAAAAUUUUGAAUUAAUAAUCAAUGAGAAAUCAAACAACUUAUAUGAAAAAAGUUUAAUUGACAUUUAAAAAAAAAAAUAUUUCAACUUUAAUCGCAAAUAAGUUUGACCUAUUUUUGUAAAACAAUAAAUGAAUAAAUAUAAGAAAAUCCGUAAUUAGGAAAGAAAAUAAUUGUUACCUUAUUUGAGUGAUUAGAAAAUUAUAAAGAUAAUUAAAUAAUCAAUUGACUAUAGUCAAAUUAUAAUUUUAUAAGAAAUUUUUGAGAAAUAAAUCAGUAAUUGAGAAAAAAAAAUAAUUCUUACCUUUUUAAAAUUCUUCCCCAAUUUAUGAAGGUAACUAAUAUCAAAUUAAUAUAAUCAAACUAUAAAAAUAUGAGAAAUUUAUGGGAUUGAAUUUCCGAAAUUAUAAAGGUGACUAAUAUCAAUUGUUUUCGUUUUUGAGUCCUUUACGUAAUUGUACAUUAAUUAAAUAUAAUCAAGAUAUAAAAUUAGGAUAAAAUUAUGGUAAGUAGAUAUUUAAAAUAUUAAUAUUAAUUUUAUUUCCAUCAAAUUAAUUAGAUUAAAUUGAUGUAAAAAUCAGUUAAUAUUGAGAAUUAUUUUAACAGAUUAUAUAUGCAAAGUUACAUAAUUGGUAUACAUAUAUUGAUAAAAAAAAAAAACGAACAUUGACUAAUACUUUAGCCAUAAAUAUAUUUUAAAAUUUACAACCUUAAAUUUAAGGAACUUGAGUUAUAUAUUAUGAUUAUAAAAUUGAUUCUUAUUAAUUAAAGUUAAUUAGUUGAUUGUGUAGUCAUAUUAUAAUUAUGUUGUGCAUUAUUUAUUUAAUGGAAAUACAUAUAAUUAAUUAACUUAUUUUGUGCAAUCUACUAUGAACUUAUUAAUUCAAAUGAAAUAAUUUUUAAAUGGUAAGUUUGAACUAUAAAAUAAAGGAGAUUAUUAGUUGAAAUUUUAAAUUAAUAUACAUUAAUCUAUUUUAGUGGGGUAUUAGUCUUCAACAAGAUCUCCACAUUUAAAUGGAGUAAUUCUAUGGCUUUAGCAUCUCUUAUGUAUUAAAAAAAUAGAGACAAGAAAAUAUAAUGCCACAACAUUUUUAGACUAUUUAAUUCAUUUAUCACGUUUUAAAAUAUUGUUUAUAUCAAUUCAGUGAUGUUUAUAUGAAAAAGUUAAAUUUUGAAAAAAUAAAUAUCUUAAGUUUUAUAAUUUAAGUUAGUUUGUGUACUAACUUGAAAAAGUUAAUUUAUAAUUUACAUUCUAUUUUUAUUAUAUGGAAAAUUUGACCUUAUAUGGCUAUAUAUACUAAUUCAAUAACAUAGAAAUAUUGUCACACUUUUCUUUUCUCUCACUCUCUCUUUCUCUCUCUCUGAUAUGUUUAUUGAUCAUUAGUCUUAUUGGUAUUUAUCAAGUUUUUCAUUAUGAAUAUGUAGAAAUAAAAAUUGUCAAUAGUUUGCUAAAUAUUAAUUCAAAAUUUUCAUAAAUUUCAGGCUUUAAAUAUAAAGGUCUCGACAUAAUAAGAAUCACACAUAUUGAUGAAAUGUUAUCAAUAUUUCAAAAUGAGAGUGCAGUAGAAGAAUAUACAUAUGAGAAUGUUGAACAAUGUAAUCACAAUGUAACAUAGGUUUGAAACAAGAAAAUCAUUUGUUGAAAAAGAUUUGAAUUAUUCGUAGUGAUUUUUCUUUCUCGAGAAAAUUAAGUUUGUUAAUUUUUUAAUCUCUUUAUACAAAUAUAAAUUUAUACUAUAAAUAAUAUAAUUUUUUGAUUAUAUAUUAUUUUGAGGUCUUGCAUAAUUAUGAUAUAAAAAUGAUUGAUUUUUUUAUUUUAUUAAUCAUUAUUUAAUAUCAUAUUUUGGUAUNNNNNNNNNNNAAAGAUCCGCAUAUUGAAGGAGUGUUGUCACUAAUUAAUAAUGAGAUUUCAAGAAGAAGAAACCUAUGAGAAGGUCACUAUAUAUUCAAACAAUAUAGGUUUGAAACAAGAAAAUUAUUUGUUAAUUAUUCAUAGUGUUUUCCUUUCUUGAGAAAAAUAAGUUUGUUACCUUAGUGAUUUUUUUUAUUCAAAUACAAUUUUUCGUAAUAUAGUCUCACUAAAUAAUGAAUCUAUUAAUAAAAUUAUAAAAAAUAUAUCAAUUUUUUUGAAGCGAAUGAAAAAUAAAAAUUUCAAGAUCUUGCUUGAGAUUAUUAUGAUUUAUUCGUUUAAAAUUUUAAAAUUUUAAAAUUUUUAGAGAUUAAUUUUAUCUCUUUUUUCAUAUUUAGUAUUUUAUAAUCCUAUUUUGACUUAAAUGUGAAUGUUAUAAAUGGUAUAACUAGAACGAUAAUAUUUUUUCUUUAUACUUGGUCUCCUUUCAAUAUUCUUAUAUAGGUAAAUAUUUUUAACAAAUUCAAAUUAAUUUUAUCUACUUUUUUUCAUUUUGAAGUAGUUUAUUAUGAAUUAUUUGUUCUGACUAAUUCAAGAUAAUUUAUUGAAGAUUUUGACUUACAUUUCAUUAGUUUAUGUUGACUUAUCUAUUGGUCAAUGAAAUAUUUUUUUAUGAUUUACUAUUUGAUAAAUUUGUAAAUCUAAAUUAUUUUUUAAUCUAUCUUUUUUUAAUGAUUAGUUUUACUUAAAUAUCAUCCCCACAUCGUGCGGGUACUAAUACUAGUCCUAUAUAAAAGAGAACAUAUAUGAUUUGAUUACAAUUGACUAAAUCAAGAAAGUAUCAAGAAGUAUCAAUUAAGAGAAUAACCAAUUAAGAAUCAAACAACUUAUAUGAAAAAAAAUAAAAUAAUCAAAGAGUUAUUCCAAAAUUUAAAAUAUUAUGAAAAAGAUGUAAUCACGCAAAUGGUAACUUUGGAUUACAAAAUGGAAGAAAUUUAUUUCAAUAUAUUUCAAGAAAUUUUAUUUUAAAAAUAUGCAUUCAUACUUAUUGGAAGAAUUCUCAUUCGAUAUAUUUUAAGCAAUCUAUAUUUACAACAAUACGUAUUCAUAUUUAAUAAAAGGUUUUUCAUAAUUAAGAAUAACUAUCAAUGAGUAAUUACACUAUCAUUCUAUAUUAGAAAAUGAAUAAAUGAUAGUCUUGAAUUUAAAAGAAGGCUAGAUUGAAAAUAAAUAAAUAUUAAAAUUUUUACAAAAUGAAUAUUACUACACAGAAAAGAUUGCAUAAUAUUUAUCCAAAAUAACUACUAAAAUUACAGAGUCCUAAUUAAUAUUCGAAGUCAAAUAAAAUUUUGCUUUACAAAGUUAUUCUUUAAUUGACCAAUUAUAUAACCUUAUAAUGUUUGUAAGAAUAAUUUCAGAUUUUAAAAUAAUCAAAUUUGAAAAAGAUACUUAGUUUUGAUGAAUAAAAAUUAAUUUAAAAUAAAUAAAUUAUCUAAAUAUAAACAAAAAGUAUUUAUGAUUUCAUUUAAUGUAAAUCAAUUAAGGAAGCAUGACAAAAUUGAUUAAUAAAUAUAAAUAAAAAAUGAAUAAUUAAUUAACAAUUAUAUACAUAUAUAUGAAAAAGAAUAUUCUACCAACUGCAAUUAAUCUAAAAGUUGUAAUGUCAUAACAAUUUACCACUAUAUAAGAAGGCUAUACUCAGUAAAAGCUAAUUAAUUUCUGCCAUAACAUGUUGGAGAAGAUGAAUUGUAUAAGUGAUUUCUGUCACAACUUAUCUUGUCGUGAUAAUCGCUAAAAUCUCAAUUUACUGUGAGUAUUGUAUUAGAAUAGAUUUUUCUUGAUUUAUCAAGUCAACUAAAUAUACCAAGUAAUGUUGCAUAUUCAUUUUAAUUCUACAUAUUUGGUGAAAAUUUUAUGAGCCGGUAUUCAUGUACUUUAUGUUUUAUAAAAAAAAUAUAAUUUGUACUCUUUGAAUUGAUCUUUUAAUAUGUUAUACAUUUUUAAAGACUAUAUGUGCAAUGAGAAUUUUAGCAAUAACAUAAAAAUUUACAAGUUAUACGUUAAAUAUGAAAAAACUAAUAUUUAUAUUCCAUAGUUGAUUAUAUUCCAUAGUUGAUUUUCUUGCAAUGCAAAUAUUGUUGCUUUAGAUUUUAGUGAGAUAAUAAUUUGAUUUCAAAAAUUAAUAAACUAUGAUACUAAAUUACUAAUCCACUAUAUUUCUAUAUAUUAGGAUUAACACUUGAUUUGUCUAUACUAUAUUCUAUAUGUUAUGAUUAACAAUUAAUUUGUAAAUUAAAUUGUGUGAUUUUAAUAGUGUAUUAAAAAUUUUGUGAUAUUAUAUUAGGAAUGAUAGUUAAGUGACCUUAGUAAAAAAAUGAUAGUUGUAUAACUAUCUAUGAAAUUUACCCGACACUACGAUUACUAUCUCAAAAGCUAUAUAUCGAAGAUCAAAAUUUGAGUGAAUAUCUCGUGGCUAAUGCUCAAUGGACAAUGCUAAAUUUCAAUAAAUCAAAUACUUAUGAAUAUUAUUUUUUUCAAAUUCAUUAUAUUUAAAUUUUUACUGCAAAUAUUAUUGUACAGCAUAUUGUACUAAUGUGAUAGUAAAGGUCAUUUAUCAUUUGUUAUUUAUAAACAUUAUUCUACAAACUUUCUUAUUUUUUUAUUUUAGUUGAUAUAAACAGUCAAUGAGUUCAAUCAUAUUUAUCUUUAUACUUAUAUUUAUAACUCCAGUUUUAGAAUAUUGUAGAUCUUUUGGUGCAAUAAUUAUUUUGAUCUACUUUGUACAAUAUAAAGGAUAAAGAUGAAUAAGAUUAAUAUCUUAUUAUACUGAUGAACAUGAGGGGUUAAGUAUUAGUUGAAUGUUCUAAGAUGAGAAGAAAUUCAAUUUCGAUAGUGAUUACUAUUUCUAAUUUCAUUCAAAUUGAGUAAAUUGAGAAAGUAUGAUAGGGUUGAUCGAAAAUAGAGUUGAUGAGUGAAUAUUCAAACCUAUGAAGGACUAAACCAUUUAUUCAAAAAAUAAUAUAUAAUAAGAUUCAUUAAUAUUUGUCGGUCCAUUAUCAUAAGAGAAUAAGCGAACAUUGUGAAAUCGUGCAAAUAGGUUAGGACUUUAGACAAUGUUAUAAGUUUGAAAAAAUGAUAAUAAAAAAAUAUGAGAGAGGGAAAAUUGACUAUUAUUGAGACUUUUCUCAAAAUAUUUGCCUUGAUGCAAAAUAUUUUAAAUUUAUAAAAAAUAUACUAUGACUAAGAUCGUGCAAAGAAAUACAAAAUUUAUUUUGAAAGAAAAAUCUAUUAAGACAAGAAAAGAGAAGGAGAAACUCCUUUCUUCCUUUUGAUAAGAGGGUGCAAAUUAAAAUAUUUAAUAUAAAAAUUUUUAAAUUUCAAGUCAAAAUUUUACAGAGAAGCCUCAUGUGCAUAAGUCUAAAACAUAUCUUUCAUUAGUUCUUUAUUUUUCUAACCAAAUUUAGCAGUAAGUCACUUAACUAAUAAUAAUUAUGUUAAAUAUGUAUUUUCUUUUGUAAUGAUAUGAUUUUUUACAAAAUAAUCAAUAUAGAUCACAAUAUUAUCUAAUAUUCUCAAAUAAUUAUAUUACAAUAUAAUAUUAUUUGCACGUAGAUACUAACCUUCGAAAAGAAACGUUUAAGUUUUAAUUAAUUAAUGAUAUUAAGUUCAAUAUUUUAAUAGUUAUUUUUCGUAUUGCAUAAAUUUAUUAAUUUCAAAUAUGUGAACGAUAUUGAAUAAAUUUUUUAUUAUAAAAAAUCAAUAAUAUAAUAAUUUCUAUAAUUAAUUUCAUUUAAUAUCUACCGCGCAUCGCGCAGGUACUAAUACUAGUUUAAUAAAAAAAGUAAAAUAGACAUUUAUGACAUGUUUGUUUCUACUGCUUCAAUCGUGAUUUUACUAUAUCACUCAAUUAAUUAUUAUAGGUCAUCUAAGCAUUAGAAAAUUAAUAAUAUUUAUGUAUAAAAAAAGUAAAAUACACACAAAAUGAUAAGUUAACGCUUGAUGUUUUAUAGUAACUUAAUGACUUAUAUGACACCCACUUAAAUUUUUCUACAAGUACUUUUUAUAGUAAUUUUACUAUAUCACUUCUAAUUAGUUAUUAUAAGCCACUUCUAAUUCAUAAGCCAUUAUGUACAUCAUUUUGCCAAUUAGCUUUGAUCUUCACUUAUAUUUUCAAGUAUUUGGGUGUUGGAAUUUAAUAUAUUCUCGUUUUUGGCACUUAUGAAUAUAACUAGAUACUUUAGGCCGUGUCAGCACGGGCCCAACAUAUGUUAUUUGCGUUAUUUCAAUUUAUGUAGCACAAGUAGCAUUUGGACUAUCAAAUAAUUUUUUAUUAAUAUAAUUUUUAAAUAAUUUAAGUUAUUAAUCAUUGUAAUUAUAGUACCUUUUACAUAAUUAUCAAACAAUUUAUGUUACUCGCUUUGUCCUAAUUUUAGAAUUUAGAGAGUCAAUCAAUUUUUUAUUAAUAUAUUUUUUAAAUAUUUUAAGUUGUUAAUAAUUGUGAUUUAUAGUAUCUUUUAAUGUAAAUUCAAAUAAUUUAUGUUAUUUUCUUUAUCGCAACUUAUGUGACACUAUUAGAAUUUCGAAAAUCAAUCAUAUUUUUUACUAUAUAUUUUUAAAAUACUAUAAGAUGUUUAUAGUUAUGACUUAUAAUUAUUUUUUUUCAUAAUUUUUUAAAUAUAUAAUAUUUUACCAAAAUAAAAUAAAUUAAUUAAAACAAACAAAGUACUAAAUUUUCAAAACAUGUUAAAUUCAAAAACAUCAUUUGGACCAACAAAUUACUAAAUUAAAACAUGAAAACAUGCAAACUAUAAAAUGUCAAAACUAUCCUCAAAUUUGUGUGACAUAAAUAUAAUUUAGAUAAUCAAUCAUAUUUUUAAUAUAUUUUUAGAUAUUUUAAAUUCUUAAGUAUUGUAAUUUAUAAUAUUUUUAUGUAGUUUUCAAAUAAUAUAUAUUACUCGCCUUGUCAAAUUUUUGUCGCAUUGAUAGUCAAUUAUAUUCUUAAAAUAAUUCAAGUUCUUAAUUAUUAUGAUUUAUAAUACUUUUUAUUUCAUUCCAAUUUAAGUGAAAAUGAAAUAAUUUCUAGAGUCACCCAAAUUUUAUGAUUGACACAACUAAGCGGAUAUGUCCUAAAUGACUUAUAAUACCUAAUUAGAAGUGAUAUAGCAAAAUUACUACACAAAAAUAUUUGUGAAUUUUUUUUAAAUGAGUCUCAUAUAAGAUUUCAUGUUAAUUUAAAACAUCAAGAACUAAUUUAUCAUUUUAUGUCAAUUUUAUUUUUUUUAUUAAAUAUUAUUAAUUUUUUAAUACCUAAAUAUUAUAAUAAAUAAUUAGGGGUGAUAUAGUAAAAUUAUUAAUAGUAGUAAUUAUGGUUGAAGCAGCUGAAACAGACAUGUAAUAAAUGUCUAUUUUCCCUUUUUAAAAUUAAAUAUUAUUAAUUUUCUUAUAUGUAAAUGAUUUACAAUAAUUAAUUAUGGGUAAUAUAGUAAAAUCAUGAGCAAUAAUACUUGUAAAAGAAUUUAAAUGAGUCUCAUAUAAGAUGUUCUAUUAAUUUAAAACAUCAACAAUUAAUUUACUAUCAUUUAUGUCUAUUUUAUUAUUUAUUAAAUAUUAUUAAUUUUAAAUACCCAGAUGACUUAUAAUAAUUAAUUCGAGGUGAUAUAAUAAAACUACGAUUGAAUCAACUGGACCAGACAUGUCAUAAAUAUCUAUUUUACUUUUUUUAUUAAAUAUUAUUAUUAUUUUUUUAUAUGUAAAUGACUUAAAAUAAUUAAUUAGAAAUAAUAUAAUAAAAUUAUGGAGUAGCUAAAGCAUGUAAAGAAGCAUGCAUAUUGACGAAGAAUUGCUUCUUCACACUUAUUAAUAGUAGUAGUACUCUAAUGCAUAAUUCAAUCACCCCUAAUUUUACUCUAUUCUUAAUCUGAGCGUAUAAUACCAUAUAUGUACACUUCUCUCUCGUGUACUCAUAUUCAUGUAUUCUGAUUUUUUUCCCCUCCUUAUCUUAGAAUUUCUUUAUUCCUUCAGGUAGAUGGUUCAAGAUGUUGAUUGGCUUAAUUAUAGGUUAGAACAUUAUCUUUUAUUAUAUAUAUAAUUUUUUUAUUUUUUUUAAAAGAAAUGUUUGGUAAGCUUACAAAAGUGUUUUUGAAAAAGGUAGAAGCAGUUUUUCUGCUUCUAGAAAGAAGAAGAAAAUUUAUGCUUUUUAAAAAAAAGAAGCAAAAAAUUAUGUUUUUCAUGACAAAAAUAUUUCUAUCGCGCACACACAUACACUCACACACACAUAUAUAUUCCUCUCAUUAAUUAAUUAGCAUAUCAUUGAUGAUGAUGAUAGAAGAAUAUAUAACUCUUUAUUUUUUAUUAUUAAUGAUAAUAAAUGACAGACGAAUCACGUUGCAAGAUCAAAUGGUAUUCUGACAGCACUUGUAAUUUUUUUCUCGAAUUUUUAGUUUUAAAUAAAUAAUUCAUAAAAAGUGACAUAUUUGUUGUCAUAUGGUGAAUUUUUUCAUAUGUAGUGAUUUAAAUUAUGAAAUAAUUUUUAAAUUUAUUUUUAUUUUAUGUUCUUAAGUAAUAUUUAAAUUAUUUAAUUAAUAUAUCAUCAUUUAAUAUUUUUUAAUGUAUCUAUGUAUAUAAGUAUUGAUUGAAAAUUUUAUAGUAAGUACUUUUUAAAUAAAAUAAAAAAUUAAGUAAAAACAUUAUAAUAGAUAUUUAAAAUAAAUUUUCUCUAUAAAAUGAUUUUAGUCAUAAAUGCUUAUUGAUACAUAUUGUCCUUUUUGGUUGUUUGUCUCUCAAAAUCACUUCUUGAAAAUAAUAAUCCAAAUACAAUCUGUCUAUCAAAAAACAUUUUUCAAAUGAAUUUAUCAAACACAAAUUGCUUUUUUUCAAAAAUAUUUUUCUGAAAAACUAUUUUAUAAAAGUGAUUCCCAAAUAAGCAGUUUUCUAACUGCAAUUUCAAACGGACUCUAAGUGAUUUUAUUAGCUUGGACUCACCUUUUAUAAAAAUACCCAUUUCUAGAAAACAAAGAGUACUUUUAUUAACUUGCUCUUAAUAAAUACUCUACUUUGAAAGAAUAUUACUUUGAAGAAUAAAAUUGGAAGAUCAUUUUUUGAUAAAAUUAAUUAUCUAAACGCUUUUUGUUGGGAACAAAAUAAAAAAAGUUAAAUAAUAACUUAUUUAGGAAUGAAGAGGUACUCUCUUUUUAUUUGUCUAUACAAUUUUUCGUUUUCUUAAACAUGUAUCACUAUCGUAUCAUUAUCAGUGCACAAAUCAUAUAAAACCAGUUAUAAUUUAAUGCAACAAGUAUACAAAAAUCACAUGACGUAUUCAGAACACUUUUAAUUUAACUUUCCUUUUACGUACGUAAUUAUAAUUGUAACAAGUAACAACCUUUAAGUAUGGUGGUUGAUGACUGUGCGGUUAUGUGAUGGAGGUUGGUAGUAAAGGGUAGUUGGUGGUAAAGGUUAGUGAUAUAUAGAGAAUUUUUUUCCCGCAAAUUAGUGGGAAAUUUGUGUUAUCAAACAUGAUUUCUCCUUUUCAACGAAUCAGCUCAUUGGGAAAAUGCAUGAUAGAAAACAAAUUUCGACUGAAACAUUGGAAACUUCAUAAUUUUUUUCUUGUAAGAAUACUAGUUUUUUUUCCUCCCAAUUCAAUUAUAAUAUCUGUGAAAAUAGCCACUGAACAUUUUAUCUGUAAGAAAUUCAAUAAAAAAUAGGGAUUUUUUAAUUAUGUCGAUGAUGGUACGUAGUGGCUAAAGGUGGAGGUGGUAUAUACGUAGUUGACGGUUAUGGUUGAACCGUGUAGGUUGGUGGUAGAGAUAGUUAGUCAAUAAAUAAAGUAGUGCGAAAAUGUUACUUAUAUGUAUAGAAAUUUAUAGGAAUCUCUACGUGAACAUCUUGAUCAAUGACUUUAGUAUAGGAAAAUUCAAAUAAUACAGAAAAUACAAAGAAUUAAUACGUGAUUAUGAGAGAAAAAAAAUAUAUUAAGUAACAUACUACAUGUCGAUAUCAAAAUUAAUAAUUUAAAUUUGUAUUUUCAUUAAGUACAAACAAAUAAGGUUAAAAUAUUUGUUCUAUACACUUUUAUUUAAUAACAGAUGAAGUACCUUUUACUAUAAAGUUUACCAGCAAAUUCAGGAUGUUAAGCGUCCAUAGUUUUCCAGUAAAAUAAGUUAAGAUGCAAAUAAUAUAAUAGUGGACAAAAACCCCUUAUAAAAAAUAUAAUGAACAAAAAACUGCCGGUAUGACUACAAGGAAAGUUGAUCCUGCCAACACCAAAAUGGGUUUUCUUCUUCGCCAUUGAAUCAACAACUUUUUUUUAGUUAUGAAUUUUGGACUAUCAAUUUCUUGUAUGGCUAUGAAUUCUCAAAACAAAUAUAAGAAUCGAGCAAAAAUUACUGAUUUUCUAAUAACCCUAUCCCUCAUUUAUUAAUCUGUAUAGUUUGUAACGAAACUAACACCUGAAAUUUCUUAAUGUUAUUUCUGGACGAUCCCACUUUAAUUUGUAUUUAUUGACAUUCAAUUUACCGUAAGAAUUAAUCAAAACGGAACCAUGCAUUAAAAGGAAGUAUACUUAUAAUAAUUAUGAAAAUAAUUUCAGCCUACCACGUCUCUCUCUAUCCUUUUAUAAUAAUGAUUUUUAGACCACAUAGGCCAGCUAGUUGUAUCAAAUACAUAUUGACAAAUUAGUACAGUAGAAGAAAUCCUUUUCAUUACGUAGGAUAAAAUUUAUCCAAUGUCUACUACACUUUCAACCUUUCUAUUACUAGUGCAUUGAUUUACCAGAAAUAUUCAACAUCACUUUUGCUUCUUCGAUAUGCUUCCUUUUAUUUGUCAGUGAAAUUUUCGUCGAUUGACCUUUUUAGGAUAAAGUCUUAGAACGUUUCUAAAGUUUUAUAAGGUAUUGAAAACAUUAGAUGACAUGCGGAUUAAUAUUUUGAUUAUACGGUUAUAUGAACAAAUAAUUAAAGAUAUGCGUUUCAUAUUGUGCGAAAGAAAAUAAUUUCCCACGGACUAUAUUUGUAUAGCUCUUUAAAAUAGAGAUUAGAGACAAAACCUAAUUGAUGACUUAAUAAAAAAAUAAGUUGUAAUAUUUGCAUAAAAGAUCGUGUUGUUUCGACCCCUAGUUUCUCCUUAGAAGUUUUUAUAUUAAAAAGAUUUAUAUCAAACUUUUCACAGAAAUUGUUAAAUUAAAAUAUCAGUACUAUAAUAACAACAUACUUAAUAUAUAUUUCAUAAGUGGAAUCUAAUAGAGUAGAUAUAUGCAAACCUUAUAUUGAAAACCUUUGGCUCAGGAAAUCGUUUUUCACCAUAAAAUUAAUGGAUGGCAGUGGUAGUUAAAUGAAAAGCAAAAGAAGUCAUUUGGUGUGAGAUAUAAGGUAUAAUAAUCUCAUGAUAACAUGCAAGACUAUUUUAUCUUGCGUUUGAUUGAAGGUAUUUGAUAGUCCUAAGAUUACUUGCCCCACUAUUAUAUCAACAAUGGAAUAAGUUAUCUUGUAUACAAAACAAAAUAACCUUUUUUGAGAUAAAUUAUAGCGAGAUAACUUACUCCCAAACCAAAUGACCCCAAAGUGUCAUGGAGUUUGGGCUACAGGUGACAAAAAAGUUUUAAAAUGAGGUGUAGGUGACACAAGUCUUAAUAAUUGAGUGAAUGUGACAAUUACUCAAUUAUGGAUUAAGAAAGUUUGAAAAAUUUUAAAAUAACUCACAAGUUUUUAAAUUUACACUUUGAUCCAAAUAUUAGUUAAUAUAAUGGGAAACGAAGGAAAAAAAAGGCGCGCUUUUCUUUCUCCUCACCCGUUGUUAUUUUCUCUCUCUUCACGAUAUUUGUUGUUCAUUGUUGUUGCUGCUUUAUUCAUCAUCUUCCGAUUCAUUAUCAUCAUCUUAUACUUUAUUAUCAUCUUCAUAUUCUUCUUGUUGACCAUUGUUGUUGUUGUUGUUAUUAUUACCGCAACUGCUGCUCUUUGAUCAAUUUCUUAUGUCAAAUUUUGUUUCAUACAUUACUUUUAACAUUGGCAUUUAUUUGAGAGGAGACUUUGGCAAGUCAAAUUAUGCUUUUUAGGUUAAUUUGUCAUCUGGGUAACUGCUAGUGUGCUGUUUUUUCAACAAUAGCUAGAACACGAACAUCAAUGCAAUAUAAGAGUAAUCUGUUUAAACAUAUCCAUUAUUUGUGGCACCAGAUAAAUGAUUUGUUGCAACAGUAGACUCAUGUUGGAUUCAUGUUUAUGGUUCUAGGUGCCCGUAAUAUGAAUCGAAUAGAUGGGUAUUCUAUUGCAACAGAUUAAUAAUAUGUUGCACCAAAUUAGUAAUCUGUUUCAAUAGAUAAAUAAUCUGUUGCACCAGAUUAGUUAUCUGUUCCAACAAACAAGUAAUCUGUUGUAAAAGAAUAUUUAUUUGUUGCAAUAGAUAAUUAUUCUGUUGUAACAAAUGAAUAAUCUGUUUUGAACAACAAAAUGCUGCUCCAGUCACAAAUCCAACAAAUAACUUAACUCAUAUGUUGAUCUCUUGCUAUUGAUACUCGAUUCAAAUUAUUCCUUAAUUGUAGACAUGUCAUUCGUUGAGAAAAAGAAAUAGCCAACAUGAAGAUUAAAUAAUAAUUAAAAUGUCAAAUACAUCAAACACAAAUUUUUUAUUAAACAAAAAAAAUAAAAAUACAUAGGUAAAAGAAAAAAAAAAGCUUAAUUAUUAUUAUCAUCAUUAUUAUUUGUAUGUCCAGCCAGCCAAUCAUCAACCGACAGCAGCAACGCCCUCCUCAGCCUGUGAAUCUCCCACAGCAUCCUUACUCUGACGGCGAUCAACUCCUGCUGCAUGUCAUGAACCUCCUUCUACAGUUUCCGUAUGGUGUCUCGUAAAAUAGCGACAUCCCAAACUAGAUCAACCAUUUCUAGAAAAUGCAUAAGUUGACAAAACACACACGUAAAAACAAAAGUAAAGAAAAGAAAGAAUUCGAAUGUAAUACAACGUAUAUUUACACAAAAAUCAAGAAAAUCUUUUUACCAGAGACGGGGAAAAACUAUCAAGUCCUUGAAGAGAAAGUAGUUGAAGGUGUAACAAGAGCAAGGAAUCAAUAAAGUGUAGUAGAAUGAACGGUUGAGUAAGGAGAGAUCUAUUUAUAGAGGAUUGAACUUGAAUAUGUUACGCAAAAAUCACAACUGUUCACCUCCAUUUAUUAAUGAUAUUUCUUGCUUACUGUGAAAAAUUAUGACUUGAUUAAAUUAACCAAUAUUGUGCUAAGUCGAUUUUUCAGCUUAUUAUUAAUAAUAAUUAUUUCUUUCCAGGAACAGUUUUUAUAUUGAGUUGUGACAACAGAUUAUAUAUCUGUUGCAUCAGAUAACUCAUCACAACAGCUAUAUCAUUUGUUGCAACAAAUAGAUAACCUGUUGCAUCAGAUAAUAAAUAUGUUGCAGCAUAUAAUCUAUAUAUCUUUUUUUUUAAAAAAAAUUAUUAUCAUCAUGACAUCCAAAUUUUAUGACUUUUUAAUUAUAUAAAUUAAUAAAACAGAUUUAAAGGCGUAACUGUUCACCUUCAUUUAUUAAUGACAUUCUUAAUUACUGUAAAAAGUUAUGACAUAAUUAAAUUAAGCAAUAUUAUGAUAAGUUAUAACUUUUCAGCUUAUUAUUACUAAUAAUUAUUUCUUUCCAGGAACCGUUUUUACAUUGAGUUGUGACAACAUAUUAUAUAUCUGUUGCAUCACAUAACUCAUCUUUGACAAUAGAUACAUCAUUCGUUGCAAUAAUAGGUAACCUGUUGCAUCAGAUAAUAUAUCUGUUGCAACAUAUAAUCUAUCUUUUUUUCAAAAAAAAAUUAUCAUCAUAUCAUUAAUCCAAAUUUGCUGACUUUUUUAUUAUAUGAAUUAAUAAAACAGAUUUAAAAACAAGAAUAUUUUUGGUGAUUUUUUUACGGUUUAAAUUGUGUUUAUCAUUCAUUUUCUUAUUAUUUUCUGUGAAAAGAAAUGACUUAAUUAAAUCAAGCUGGUGAGUUUUUAUUAUUAUGACAAGUCGUGACUUUUCAGCUUAUAAAAUUUAAAUAACUUUUUUCUCAAUUUAAAAAUCGAAGACACCUGGUUUUCAAUAAUCGUUUCUUUAGUAAAAUAAUAAUCAUUUUUUAUUGAGUUAUGUCAACAGAUUGUAUAUCUGUUGCAUUAGAUAACCCAUCUGUUGCAAUAGAUAUACCAUUUGUUACAAUAAAUCGACUAUCUAUUUUAGGAGCUUUUUUGAUUUCUUCUAACAGCUGAUUCAUCAGUCGCAAUAGAUAAGGAAUUGAUGCAUCAACAACGUUGUUUGUUUUUAUUUGUUGAAUGUGUUUAGACAAAAGUCACAGUCAUGACUAUUCAUUUUUUUCUUGACAAUCACAUCAUCAUAUAACUUAAUUAAUCCAUUGUUGUGACUUUUUGUAAAAUUAAAUAAUCUUUCUUUUACGGUUAUAAAUUGUGUAUAUCAUUUAGUUUCUUAUUAUUUAUUAACGAACCGUUUUUAGGAGAAUCAUCAUGACUUUUCACCACCCUCUGUUGCCAUAAAUAGAAUGAUAAUUAAAUAUUAAAUAAAAAUUAAAAAUUAAAAAUUGACCAAACCGAAUCAAAUAUAUACAUAGAUUUUUAAAUCCCUUAUAGGUAGAUCGGAUAUAAAAAGGAAAAAUACAAACGUUAAAAGAAAGAAAAAACAUAACUUAAUUAUUAUUACUACUGUUAUUAUUAUCAUUACUAUUACUAUUAUUAUUGUCAACCAGACAAUUUUCAUCCGGCUGCAGCAGGGCCCUCCUCAGCCUUACUCUGAAGUUGGGCAAAUCCCUAUGGAGCUCAUCAAACUGCCUUUGAAGUUCCUGCAAGGACUCGAUAUGAAUCUUCUUGUACGAAUUUGGAUCAGCCAUAUUUGUAUUGUAAGUGUAGUAGAAAGAACGAGUGAGAGGAGGCCGGAGGGACCUAUUUAUAAAAUAAUUGAAUUGGAAGGGGUGACUUGACUUAGUCAAACAAAAAGCCACGACUGUUCAUAUCCCUUAAUUAAAUAAAAUUAGUGACUUUUCGAAUAUGUAAAUAAAAAAAAUUGAUCUAAAUACAACAUUUUAUAUUUUUAUUAUAUUUCAGAAAGAAAAGAAAAUUUCUUUAAAAUAAAUCUAACAUAUGGGUAAUUUGUUGUAAAAUAUAUUCCAUCUGUCAGAUAACUUAUAACAUAUUGACAAUCUGUUGCAAUAGAUGGAUAUAUCAGUUUGCUUUUCCAACAGAUGUGGCGUCUAUUGCAACUUGAUAGUCAUUUGUUUAUUGAAUUUCAUCGAGAGCAUUAGAUUUUUCUAAACACUUCUUAGCCAAACUCAAUUUUUGCUCUUGGAUUGCUUCUCUUUUUUUCUCUGCAUCCUUCAAGCUAGCCUCCAGCUUGUUGAUUUGGCCUUCAAGUUUGUCAUUGUGGUCGUUGACCUCAGUAUAGAGCUCUUGAUCUUUUGUGAGUUUGUCAACGAGGACCACUUUUUUGGCAGCUUUCUUAUAAUACUCCUCUUGGUCCUUCUUAAUUCUACGCAAGGUCAAGCAGAAGUAUGGAAGGUUCUCUUUGAGUUUUUCCAAGGCAAGAGCUCUCUCGGCUGAUAAAUCCGGUACUGCAGCAUAUAUGGAUAGUGCAACACUCAUUGCAGAACAGUUUUCUAGUAGAAACAAGUCUUGAGAAGACAUAAUCAGUAAUCUCUCGAUAUCAGCUUUGCUGUGUCAAACAGUCCUAUUGAUAGCUUGUCCUCUACGAAAGAAGAUUGAUCAGCAGAAAAAUUAAGUGAUUGAGAUCAUUUAAUCUAUUGACUAACUCGAGCAAAGAUGUCUUCUGGAUUAUCAAACUUCACAUGGCAAUCUGGUGAUUCAAUAACAUCAGAUGUAUUACUUCCGAUAUUAGCUAAUGAUGGGGAGAUUUUGCCUUCCUCACCAUUCCAAAAAGAAAAAAAUCCCAAAAUUAUAUGGAGUAGCUCGACAUAACGACACAAGAUGAACUAAAUCUAGCAUUCAAUUUUUCCUUCCUAUUCCUCCCCCUUUUAUCUUCUCACCUUUUUCAGAUCUGAUUUUUUUUUUUGGAUACUUGAUAAUGCCUUGGAAAUUUCUUUCUUUCUCUUUUUAGCCUUAAUAUCUAAUAGAGUAAAUGAAACUGAAAUUCUCUUUGAUCGAAUGACACUACUGUUAGAUAUCAAUUCCUUUACAUUAGCAGUUAAUGCAUUAACAAUAUUAAUCACUCUAUCAUUUUUUGACUUGCACUCUUCACAUUUGCAUGCACAAGAUAAGCAAGGAGGGUUAAGAUCUCCAAAUCUUUGCCCGAUUUAGUGAACAGAUUAAAUGAUCUCAAUAUCUCAGCCUUUCUGCUGAUUGUUUUUCUCCCAUAUAGAGGACAACAUAUUCGUCAUGCAAAAGUCUACGCCAUCGCCAGAAAUGCUUACCACAUCGAAAGUCUGUAGAAGGCAUGACUAGUAAUCUCUCAAUAUCACUAUCUCUUGCAAUUAUAUUAGAAUGGACAUAGCAAGCAAUUGUGCUUAGUUUGGUUUGUCAUUUCCAACAUAAUUGGAAAAGACAUCAAAAAAGUUAAAAAAGUGAUAUUGAGAGACUAAUAAUCAAGCCUUCUAAAGAUUUUCACUGUGGCAAGCAUUUCUGGCAACAGUGUAGACUUUUUUAUGGCAGAUAUAUUGUUCUCUAUAUGGGAGAAGAGAGAUCAGCAGAAAGACUAAGAUAUUGAGAUUGUUUAAUCUAUUCACUAACUCGGGAAAAGAUUUUCAUAUGGUAACGAGCCUGCAGUUAUGAAAUGUUUGAUAGGCUUGUUAGAGUCAGUUUAGAUCAAACGUUACGUAACUCCUUGCUGAUUAAUUUAUCAAAACCCUUGAAGGUUGGUUGAGCAAGCUGCAUUGAGCAACGCUCGAUAAAAGUGAGCUAUUCAACUGUUGGGACCACAUCUUCACUGUGCAUCAACACAUUUUGACCUAAAAACAUACACAGCGGCCCUUCAUGUAUCCUUUAAGGCUUCCGAAAAAGGUAUUUUAAAGGGCUUCUACAAUGCCACAACUUUGAAGGUAGUGUUCCUGAUUGAGAUCACAAGAGAUUAGGAACUCUAUACCAAAUUCAAAGACGGCAACGACAAAUUUUAAGACCAAAUCGGCAAGCUGGAGGCAAGCUUGAAAAUUAUCGGGAUUCGCAUACUAUAACAAGCCUCUGAUCUUCUCCAAGGAAUGUUGAAAGCAUGCUAAGGAUAGAAAACAUAAUCAAUUAUAACCAUAUUUCUAAGGAAGUAGUGACACUCAAUAUGCCUUUCAAUCACGUUUUUGGUUUCGAUCAGGUCAACGGACCUGAUCGAAACCACAAACAAGAAGGCAUGGGAUGAAAUUUAAAAUUCAGAAAUUACAGCCUUUGCUUAGAUUCCUUACUUUAACUGCAGUUGCUAUUGGCGGAAGUUUUCUAGACUUACUGUACAAUAUUUCAACCCUCGAUUCCCUUAAGGCGGCUUUCUUAUUUUUCUAUUAUUUUCUAUUUAGGUGAUAAUCCCAACCACGCUACCUAGUUACAUCUCCCUAGCAAAGUGACCAUCUGCAUUAUUUUUCUCUUAGAGAGACAACAAACAAAUUUACAUUACUGGAUACACUUUCAUAUUUACACUUGAUACAGAUUUCUCAUGUUUCAAGAUAAUUUCAUCAGCCAGAUUUGCUAGAAGUUACUUUCUACCCUAUGUAUCUUCUUCAAUUAGCUCUCAGAUGAUAUAAUAUUUCAUCAACCACUCAUUUUUCCUCGAAGGUAUUCUUCUACUGUACCUUCUGGUGUAUAAUCAUCAUCCUAAGCAACCCAACCAUAUAAAUUUCGGCUAGAGCAAUAACUAUAUUGGUUUUUCGUUCUUGCUAGAUGCAAUGCUAGGCUUUGAAGGCCUUCUCAGAGUCCAAUGCUCCCUAAAAGUUAGUCCAAUCGCUAUUGAAUCUCUUUACAACAACACCAAAACUAGAUCCCUUCACAAUGCUUGACAAAUAAACAUGAGCAACAACCGACAUUAAAUCUUAACGGUGUAUCAGAACCAUAUUCAUGGUCCCUCAGCCUUAUCAUUUUGGACCUACCAAACUUAACUGUAAAAUUGCAGAUAUCUUAUUUGAAUGAUCCAUGACUAAUCGGUAAAAAUAACAUUCACAAAAAUAAUGUACUCUAUGUGUGUUUCCACGAUAACAUUAUUAGUAAUACAUACCUCCCACAUAUGAAGUGGUUCCAUCUACAUACAUCUUAUUCCUCCGAACUCAUCUUUACUGCAGCCUUUUGUAAAGGUCGGUAAAAAGUUGAUCAACUUCAGUUCCUUAUAUCUACAAAGAAGAAGAAAAAAUUAAUGUCACAGCAAAAAUAUUAUUCAUCUUUUACAACAAAUAUAAAGUUUGUUGCAUCAGAUGAAGAGUCUGUUGCAUCAGAUGAGGAGUGUAUUGCAUCAGAUGAGGAGUUUGUUGCAUUAGAUGUAGAGUCUGAUGCAACAGAUGUGGAGUCUGAUGCAACAUAUGUGGAGUCUGUUGCAACUGAUGUAGAGUCUGUUGGAAUACAUCAAACCAGCCUUGCUAGUGGUUUGAUUUGUUUCAACAGUUGCUCGGUCUGUUGCAAUAUCAACAACAACAUAAACUACAAAGAAACAAUAAAUAAAAUAACAACAUUUGUUCCAACAACAUCAUUAACAAUAAAGAAGCAACAUCCUAUGUUACAACACCAUCAACAACACCACAACACAAGUUCCAACAAUGCCAACUCCACCAACAACAUCAAUAACAACAUAAACAACAAAGAAACAAAUAAAAUAUAUACAAAAACAUAAUACUGUCAACAAGACUUUUAAACUUCUCUCAACAAAUGACUUUUUUCGCAUAUUAUAAUAAAAAUGCUCGAUUCAUUUAUUCAACAAUUAAAAGUUCCUUCAAAUUUUUUAAUUAAAUAUGAUAUGGGUAAAUGGUAAUUAAAUAAAAAAUAGAUGUAAAUAACUUGCAAAGAAGAAAACGAGAAUGAAAGAGCGAGCGAACCAUACCUUAAUGUCAAAAGGGAAUCAAAACAAUAAUUUUAGUUGAGGAAUCUAGGAUAUGGAUCGGUUUAGAUCCGAAGGGAUCUUUAUGAGAAAGAGGAGAAAAAAAGGAUGUGAUAACCCUAAAAAGGAGAGAAAGAAAAAAAUGAGAGACAAAUAAAAUAAAUUUAGGGCUGAAGGAGAGAUGAGAUAAUUCUAAUUUCUAGAUGUACUACCCUUAAUAUUAAAUGACUAAACAAAGUGUAUUUUCUCAAAUUUAUAUUUUCAAAGCAUAAUUAAUAAGGCUAAUUUGAUAAAAUAAACCCCUAAUUAAUAUUUUUUUAAUGGGAGUACCGAGUCAAUAGGGACCAACUAAUAUGAAAUGGAGGAAGUAUUAGAGGUUUAAGUAUUCAUUAAUUAAUAUUAAUUAAUAAUUUGAGAAGCACGAGGAAGAAAAUGGGUGACAUUGAAAAGACAAGACAAGACUACUCAAUGAGAUUUUUGAGUUAUCUAAGAAAUAUUUUUUACCGCCUUUAGUAGUACUACUUUAUCUACUCGGACAGAAGCUUGCUUUAAAAUUAAAAGAAAAAAAAUUUCAAAUAAAUAUGUUGUCUGUUACAACGGAUAUAAAUAUCUGUUUGAAAAAUUCCAACAGCUCAGUCAUCUGUGAUAACAGAUGCAAAUGUCCAUUUGAUAACUAAAUCAGAUUGUCAUAUGUUACAACAGAUAUCAAUAUUUGUUUGAAAAUUUCCAACAGUUCAAUCAUCUGUCACAAUAGAUGCAAAUGUUUGUUUGAUAAUUAAAUCAGAUAUGUCAUCUGUUGCAACAGAUAUGAUUAUUUGUUUGAAAAUAUCCAACAACUCAGUUAUUUAUUACAACAGAUUUUAUUGCAAUUGAUUUAAGUGAAACUAGGGAUGAAUGAAUGAGCUCACAAAGUCAACAACAAUUUUAAUUGAUUCAUUGCAUUUGCAUGGUGUUGCUAUUGCGUUCAUCCCGACCCGAGUCGUCGAUCGAUCACUCUGAGUUGAAAUAAGUUCUCAUUAACUUAAUGUUAAGAUUAAUAGUACCUAAAUUGAUUUAGGUCGAACUAGGGAUGAAUUAAUGAGAUCACAAGAUCAAUAAUAACUUCAAUUGAUUCGUUGCAUUUGAAUGGUGUUGGUAUUUUUUCAUCCUAAUCCGAGUCGUCGAUCAAUCACUCUGAGUUGAAAUGAGUUCUCAUCAAUUUAAUGUUAAGAUUAAUAGUACCUAAAUUGAUUUAGGUGGAACUAGGAAUGAAUGAAUGAGCUCACAGGGUCAACAACAACUUCAAUUGAGUUGUUAAAUUUGUAUGGUAUUGGUAUUGCAUUCAUCCUGACCCGAUCGUCGAUCAAUCACUCUGAGUUGAAAUAAGUUCUCAUUAACUUAAUGUUAAGAUUAAUAGUACUUUAAUUAAUUUAGGUGCAACUGGGGAUGGAUUAAUGAUCUCACAAGGUCAACAACAACUUUUAUUGAGUCAUUGUAUUGGCAUGGUAUUGGUACUGUGUUUAUCCUGAUCCGAGUCGUUGAUCGAUCACUUUGAGUUGAAAUGAGUUCCCAUUAACUUAAUGUUAAGAUUAAUAGUACCUAAAUUGAUUUAGGUGUAGUUAGGAAUGAAUGAAUUAGCUCACAAAGUCAACAACAAUUUCAAUUGAGUCAUUGCAUUUGCAUGGGAUUGAUAUUGCAUUCAUCCCGAUCCGAGUCGUCGAUCGAUCACUCUGAGUUGAAAUGAGUUCUCAUUAACUUAAUGUUAAGAUUAAUAGUACCUAAAUUGAUUUAGGUCAAACUAGGGAUGAAUUAAUGAGCUCACAAGGUCAAUAACAACUUCAAUUGAGUUAUUGCAUUUGCAUGGUGUUGGUAUUUCUUUCAUCCCGAUCCGAGUCGUUGAUCGAUCACUCUGAGUUGAAAUGAGUUCUCAUUAACUUAAUGUUAAGAUUAAUAGUACCUAAAUUGAUUUAUGUGGAACUAGGGAUGAAUGAAUGAGCUUACAGGGUCAACAACAACUUCAAUUGAGUCGUUAUAUUGCGUUCAUCCCAACUCGAGUUAUCGAUCGAUUACUUUAAGUUUAAAUGAGCUCUCAUUAACUUAAUGUUAAGAUUAAUAGUACCUAAAUUGAUUUAGGUGGAACUAGGGAUGAAUGAAUGAGCUCACAGGGUCAACAACAACUUCAAUUGAGUCAUUACAUUUGCAUGGUGUUGGUAUUUGCAUUCAUCUUGACCCGAGUCGUCAAUCGAUUACUCUGAGUUGAAAUGAGUUUCGAGUCAUCAAUCGAUUACUCUGAGUUGAAAUGAGUUUCGAGUCAUCAAUCGAUUACUCUGAGUUGAAAUGAGUUCUCAUUAAAUUAAUAUUUAAAAACUAUAUCUUUUGAAAUUUUAAAAAUUAAUUAAGAUCAAUUUGGACCAAAUUAAUAAUUUCAAAACUUGUCAUUCUUUUCCAAAAUUAUAAAUCAACCCAUACAAAUCAUCCAUUUAUGGAAAAAACUUUUUCUUAUUUCAAAUCUCAAGUUCUCUCUCCCCUCUCUCUCUCAAUAAUACAGACAACAACUAUUCAACAUAUUGCUCAACCCUUCAAAAUAGAUCGAUUUUCUUCCCAUUUUUGACCACAUAGUUUUUAUUUUCAACUUCAUUCUUGCUUGUAUCUGUCGUUUUCUCUAUCUUCGUAGGUAAAAAAGUUUGAAAAGAGUUCUACAGUUGUUCUUUAUUCUAAAAAUUAGGGCUUUUUAGUUAAUGAUGAAAAAGAAGACUUUUAGUUGUAUUAUCUUCGAGAAUGGGUUAGCAAUUUUAUGUUUUGAUGCUAAAAAUGUAGGAAGCACUCGAGAAAAUGCUAGUUUUUGUCUCGGUGUUUUGUUGACUAUCAUGGUAUUAUUGGAUGAUGUUUGUGGUGUUGUUGGUGGUUGUUGGUGGUGGUGUCAGUAUUUGUGUUUUUGGUGGUGGUGUCGGUGGUCUUGGUUUUGGUAUUGGUGGCAUUGGUGGUGGUCUUGGUGGAAUUGGUUGUGGGGGGUGGUGGUCCAUCUGUUACAACAGGUGGAAGAUCUGUUAGGAGAUAUUCAAUAGGUCUUCAAACAGAUUCUCCAUUUGUUCCAACUGAUGGGUUAUCCAUUAGAGUAUUUUUUUUUUGUAAUUUGGCGUAGAAUAAUUUAUUGAAAUUCAUCUUACCUUUUUUUAAAAAUUAUGCAGACAUCAAAUGCAAUGUAUUUUUUAUUUUUCUAUCAUUUGUAGUUAAAAGAUGUCUUCCAAAAGAAAAGAAACUGAAAGUGGAGAAAGUGGAUCAAUUUUUGAUCACCAAAUAAAAAAGGCUAGAGUACAGAUAGAUUCGGAGAAACUUCCAGAAUAAUCUCAGUCAGGGCAAAAUAAAUCUGAGGAAAGUGAUAACUUCUUCUCACCAAUGGGGCGUGAAAUAAUAUAAAAAUCCCAGCAUGAUUCUGUCAAAGACAUUAGUAUUGACAAGUUUCGAGUUGCGAUGCCAAUGAAUAGCCCUAACGCAGUAUUUGGUGAACUUGUACUUAAAUGUCAAUAUGGGAAACCUUUUGAUGAACUUAGGAGUAUUAUAAAGAAUGAAAACAUAGAUGGACUUUUUAAAAAGAGCUGCUUUGCAUAUUUUCUCAAGCUGUUUGAGGACCACACUCUCCGUUUCCCAAUAAGCAUGGUAUAUGGCCUUCUUAAGCGCAGGAUCAAGUAUGUGGGGGAUGACAAAGAUUCAAAGGAGGGCGAAAAAAAUAUGGAUGAAGUCUGGAUCAACUACUGUGAUAUGCCAAUUUGUUUUGGAUUGAAAGAGUUUGCGAUAGUGACAGGCUUGAGAUGCGAUCGUCCAGAAGAACCUCUCAUCAAGGAAACACCCCACAAAGGGUCCAACAAAUGCAAGGUAAAAAAUAUGAGUUGUUGUGCAUUAUUGGACCUAGCUAUAAAAGGAAGGAUUUGAUGGCGGAUCUCGAGAAUAAAAACAUAUCGAGGCUGUACAGGGAGAAAUUGUGCUUAGUUUGGUUUGUCAAUUCCGUUUUAUUAGCAAAAGACGUCAGAAGUCAUAUAACAUAAUUUGUUGGCGCUUGGUGAUGAUUUUAAAGAAUUCAACGAUCAUCUCUGGAGAUAUAACAGCUACUACUUGACUUUCGAAUAUUUACUGACAAAUCUAUCCCCAAAGACGAUCACAUUAUACGGCUUUCCCUAGGCUUUCAUGAUGAAAUUGAUCACUAUUUUCUCUCAUCCAUUAAUUUAUAUUAAAUAUAGUUAUUAUGACUUUUUUCUUUCUUGCUUCUUGUUUACAUUUUUUAGGCUUGGGCAUGUGAAGCCAUUCCUCUCCUUCGAAAGCAGUUCAAAGAUUACCUGAAUAAGGUUACUCAUCCAAGGAUCCAUAGGUGAUUGGCUGCAACAAAGAGCAGCAAAAAUAUAUUAAGGAGGCUGAUCUCUUUAACCCUCUGGAUGAUGCAGUACGUCUUCUUUCAACUAAAAUAAUUUGCCUCAAAGAAAGAUAUUAAAACAGAUGUUCCAUCUAUUGCGAUAGAUGGGUCAUCUGUUGUAACAGAUUACCUGUCAACUGCAACUGGUGCAACAGAUGGGUAAUUAGUUGUGACAGAUGAUCCAUAUUUUGCUACAUAUUAACCAUCUGUUUCUCUGGUUCUCUUAACUCGACUCAACAGAUUACCCAUCUGAUGCAAAUUAUGCAAUAGAUAUGUAAUUUGAUGCAACAUAUUUUCAAUCUAUUGCGAUAUAUAGAUCAGCUGUUGUGGAAACUAGAUCGUCUGUUGCAUAAGUUGGUUGUGUUAACAUCUAUAUAAUCCAACUGACUGCAAAUUAUUAUUAUAUGAUUUAAAUACCUCCUAUCUUUUUUAUAGGUUGUGCAUCCUUGGAUCGUGUCUACCAUUAAUGAGCUGGGGAUGAUUUUUUUCUUACUCUAGGUCUUAUUGAUACAAAAAAAGACCAACGGUGGAGUUAAUAAAAAAGUAAUUGGAUAGAUAAACAGCCAUAAGAAGAGUAGUUAGGCAAGGUCAUCCUAAUGUUGAAGUUCUUCAUAACCAACCUAAAACUGCAACAGAUCCAGGUGCUUCUUCUGGGGGGUUGCUGGUGGAGUUAUUUGUGGUGGUGACAACCAUCCUGAUACUGCUGCUGCUUCCAGUCAUGAUUAUGAGCAUGUUGGAGCUCAGCAAAAAAAAAAUACUUUUGAAAGCAUCCCUUGCACAGGUCUUUCUCACCCUUACACCGGUCCCUCCCACCCUUACAGUGUCCCUCUUACCCCUCCUCACCCUCAUGUUCUUAUUGCAAAUAAAAAGUGUGCAAAGAUAGGGAGGAUAAACUCCUUGAAAAGCUAGAUCCUAUUGCUAAAGCUGCCAAAAAGUUGAAAUUCAAGAGGGGUGUCUUACCAUCCAACGAGGUUAGGGAGUCAUGCACUCCUACAGUGGCGGUUAGAAGGAAGAGAAGAAAAAUUAGAUAAAUUCUCUCCGUUCUGAAAAUAGCAAAAAUUGCAACUUCUCCCGCUCCAAGUGUUGUUGAAGUUUAGGGGCCGCUGAAGAAGGUGAACAUAUUCGCGACACUUGGCAAGGAAAAAAAGAAGGAACCGCAAAAAAUCAUGAAUGACAGGACGAAGGUUAAAAGAGAAUACACUAUGAAUUCAUUUGCCACCAAAGACUUCACGAAUAUGACAAAUAUGCAUGUGUGGUAUGAGGACAAUGUAAGUUUACUUUUGCUAACUUAGCAUUCCAAUCUACUCUAUGAAGAAGAAUCUAGCAGAUAUGUAAUUUGUUGCAACAACUUGGUAUUCUGUUGUAACAUAAUACAUAUCUAUUGCAUAAGUUGUGUUGCCUGGGUAAUCUGUGAACUGAUUCAGAGAACCCUCUACAUCAAAUUUUUUCCACUGUGUUUUUAUUCUUUACAAUUAUUAACCUAUGUAAAAAUUAUCUUCUUAUACCAUAGUAUGUUGAUAAAAUUCUCUACCUCAUGAGGGGCAGGCAAUUAGCGUACCCGGAUGCUUAUGAUACUGCCGAUAGGAUAAUGGACAUCAACUUCUACAAAAAUUUUUAGGAUAGGUAUGCUUAUUUCUGUAAGCUAGUUGAUUCCGUUGGCCUGGGAUUUGAUAAGUUAGUUUCUACGUUCCAAUGGAAUGUAGAAAUGAUUAAAUAUGUUAGAGGAAAGAGGCCAUAACCACACGGCAAGAGCUGGACCAAGGCAAAGAGUCUCCUUGCAGUCAUGAACGUGGAAGUCAAACAUUUUCUCGCUGUUAAGAUACUACUCUAUGAGAGAAAGAUUAAGGUUUAUGACUACAACUUACCUGUCUUCGAUGAUGACAUAUUUUUUAGCCCACAUGCAUCUACUCUUGAAGUUGUUGCCCAAGUUGUUGACGCAGAGUAAGCUGAUAGAUCAUUUGUCAGCUGAAGUCUUGACGAAGGAAUCAUGAGAUUUUAAAGGUUGAAAUAAGAACAUUAAGCUCCCAAAAAAUAAAACUGGUGCAGCGUGCAGUCCAUACUCGCUUGCAUACGUCUAGAGUUUACUGACCGACACAAAAAUGACUGGUAUGUGCGACGCCGUUAUAGGAAAGAUGCAAUGGGUCUGGGAUUAUGGGGUACUAACUAAAUGGUUGGAGCCCGUGUAUAAAGAAGAAUAUGUACAAAUACAGAUAUGAAUAUGAUAAUAAUUUUUCAUUUCAAGCCACUUCACUUUACAUGUAGUGGCAAUAAUUUUUAUACUGGCUAAGUUUAAUUUUUAUAAUGCAACAGAUAGUAUAUCUGUUGUAACAUAUAUAAUACCUAUUAUGACAAAUUAAUUAUCUAUUGGAAUAGGUUGGUCCUCUGUUGCAUUAUGCAAAUAUUUCUGUCCGUCUGUCGCAAUAGAUAUAUAAUCUGUUACAACAUAUAAUCUAUCUGUUGCAAUUGAUAGGUAAUCUGUUAGACAAAUCAAGAAAGUAGGAAGACCUGUUAUAUAAUUUCCAGCAGAUGACCUAUAGUUGCAUCUCACGUUGCAACAUAUGUCUAAAUCUGUUUGAUAAGAUAUAUCAUCUGUUGCAGUAGAUGUAUUAUCUGUUGCAAUAUUUGAAUCUAGUAUUUCAUUUCAAUUAACAUGUUCAAAACUAAGGAUUAAAUUAUAUUCAUAGACAACAUAAAAUAAGUUGAAGCCUUUAGAAAUUACAUGAAAUAACUCAACAAAUAAAUGAAAUGUAAAACAAUCAUUAUGGGUACAAAUGAUCUACUCUACAAAUAAAUUAACAAGUUAAACCAAGGAGGAUAGGUUAUUACAUUGACGGACUCAAUCUAUAAAAAUCUACUCAAUAUGGACAAGUUGUUCUUCAUUCGGUGCUGCAAAAUUUGGCUUUGGUCAUCGUGGAUCUUUAAUGUUGCUUGCGUACGGAUUCUGAGCUUUCGCUUCUCCAUAUUUUCACAAAAGAAAAACAUAUCUUUUGCGGAGUAAUCCGGCAUCAAGUCCAUUAUUUGGUACUUGUAAUCCAUCGAUCAAAUACUCGGCGUACAUGGAAACAAAAAGACCGCAAUCCCUGCAUUUUAAAAAAAUAGAUAAUCCAUAUCUUGUCAUUCAUGCAAGCGUUGUGAAAUUUGUGAAACAAAACUAAAUCAUGACACUUAAACUUACUUACAGGCUACCAAGGGUUUGUUGAGCAAUUCCUUCAACAUAUUGUACAUCAAAUGAAUUAUCCUUUUUAUCUCGAUAUGCUUCAAUCAUCGACCAAUCAGUAUAGAACUUUUGGUCCAAAAAGCCACUCAUAUUAAGGUAAGUAGGCAAUAUUUUGACCAGCUUUUGGAUCUCAGAUGACGGCCUAGAACGUCUCCUUCACGACAUCGAGUCAUAAACUCAGAUGCGCCUCUCUUUUAGAACGACGAUAGCCAACACUCAAUGGAAUUCAUCACCAUAAUUAAUUGGGAUGAACACUUCGUUGACCAAAUGCCAAGGUAAGACAGUCGAAAUGUUAAAACCUUUGCUGAUGUUGAUUAAGUAUUUCUUAUUUCGGGAAACUUUCGCUGUUGUUGACAAUACCUAUCGUAGGCAUUAUUGAUGUAAAUUUUGUACAAAUAGUGAUCUGUCGUGUAUCCGUAUUAUUCUUGUGUUUGCAACUUGGUCUUCUUUCGAAGGUAUUAAAAAUGACAUCGAUGUGCUACACAUAUUAUCAAAUAUUUUAGAUUAUGUGACAAAAAAAUUAAUACGCAGAUUUAAUUAAAUAAAAUAUUAAUUAAUAGCAAUAUGUAUGACAUUUAAACCUCAUCAUUUCAGCAAGUUUGGGGCUGUGACAUCAAAUAGAACUAAUUCUUCAUUUUGGAAUGUGUAACAAUAAAGUCGAACAUAUCAAAACCAAGACUUAAUUCGUUCAUUUUGUAGCAUUCGUCAUUAUAUUUUCUAUAUGAUGAUUUAUAGGUGUUAAUGUCACGUUCUUGCAACAAGAAUCAUAUUGGGGUAGGUUGGAUGAAAUAAAGGCUCGCUUAGGGAAUUUUAUGUGAUAGGAAGGUGGCCCCCAAACUGAAAGGAAAAUUCUAUAGAGUUGCAGUCCGUUCUGCUAUGUUGUAUGGAGCGGAGUGUUGGCCGAUUAAGAAUUUUUAUAUCCAAAAGUUGAAGGUGGCAGAAAUGAGGAUGUUACGUUGGAUGUGUGUAUUCACAAGGGCUGACAGGGUUAGGAAUGAAAUUAUUUGGGAGAAGGUGGAAGUGGUGUUAGUGGAGGAUAAAAUGCAGGAAGUGAGGUUGAGAUAGUUUGGUCAUGUGAUGAGGAGAGGUACGGAUACCCCAGUUCGUAGGUGUGAGAGGUUGGCCUUGGGAGGUUUCAAACGGGGUAGGGGUAGGCCAAAAAAAUACUGGAGAGAAGUGAUUAAACGUGAUAUAAAGUAGUUACACCUGACUGAGGACAUGGUCCUGGAUAGAAAGAUAUUGAGGAAAGGCAUUAGGAUAGAGGGAUAAGGGUGUGGAUGAGCAGUAGGCAGUAUUUAGGUGGUCUUUGGUGUAUUUUGUUUGGUAAUGUACAAAUUUUUUGUGGAUGUCGUACCUAUGUUAUUUUAUCGUGUUCUAUAUUUUUUAUGCUUUUGUAUACUGCCUUUUAUCUUGAGUCGGGGGUCUAUCCGAAACAAUCUCUCUACUUCUUUAAAGGUAGUGGGUAUAGACUUCGUAUACUCUACCCUCCCCAGAUCCCACUAUGUGGGAAUAUACUGGGUUUGUUGUUAUUGUAAAAAUUGAUUUAUGUACCUGUCGGCAUGAUGCAUUAACAACCCAUCGGCAAUCCAUUCUGAAUAGUCAUUGAUCAACUGUAUUAAUUUUUUUAGAGCAUCGUCCGAGAUGUUGAAUCCUUCAAAUGGGUAAUUAUUUUGUUCUCCCGAACUGACAGACUCUACUUUUUCUUCUUCUUUGAAAGUAGUUAAUGGACUAUCAACUGUGAUAUUAUGCUCUUCAGUAGUGGCUUCUACUGUGACAUCCACCUGAAAAGUCAGAAAUUGUCAAUGCUAAUUAUAGGUAUACAACAAAUUGUCCAUCUGUUGCAACAAAUGAGCCUUAUGUUGCAACAGAUGGAUUACCUGUUGGGAUAAAUUUGAACAUGUAAAUCAUAGCAAUACAGUAAUUUUAAACAGAUGACCCAUCUGUUGCAACAUAAGACUCAUCUGUUGUAAUAGAUAACGCAUCUAAUGCAACAGGUUAGACAAUAUUUACAACAGAUGUAUAUAUCUGUUUGAUAAUUUUCAGUAAAUGUAUUAGCUGUUGAAACAGAUAUGUGCCUAUUUGUUUGUUGGAACAGAUGAUGUACAUUUACCUUGUUUGGCUCAUGUUGCUCUUUUGUGGCCCUUGCAUACUGAACAAUGGUGCAAGACAAAGACAGAGGCAUUGCAAUUUUGCUUUUUUCGAUGCUUGAUGAUGCCUUGGAAGUAUCUUUCAUUCUUCUCUUAGGCGCCUUGAUCUAUAGUGUAGUGUAUGGAAAUGAAAUUCUCUUUUAUGGAAUGACACCCCUCUUAGAUGUCAUUUCUUUUACAGAAAUAGUUAGUGCAUUAAUAACAUUAAUCACUCCAUCAUGUUUUGCCUUGUAGUCUUGACAUUUGCAUGCAGAACAUUCGCUAGAUGUGGUAAAAUUUGGGGAAAGAUUUGUACAACCAGUAUGAUCAUAAUCAUAAUGACUUUUUGUUUCAAAAACUGUAAGAGGAUUAUCAUUAGCCCCAACAGCAGCACUACUACCACUACCACCAUCAACAACAACAAGCCCACCCUCUAAAAUUAUUUUUCUUCCAAUUGUUGUUGCUCCAAAUAAUUCUAUUUUUAUUUCACCAAUGAUCUUAGGGUCCGAUAAAGUUUGCACAGACCGUAAAGUAAGAAAAAAUGACAUCUUCAACUCUCGGUUGGUCGGAACAAGCCACGGAUGAACAAUCUAAAAUAAUCAGUACAUAUAUUAGAAUGAUGAUGAAAUUAUUUAAAAUAAUCAUUAAUUAAAAUAAAAACUUGAUUAGAAUUUGACUUAUUGCUUCCUUCGGGGGUUUGAAAAGAUGAAGAAAUUUUGUACUUUUAUCAAUUUUGGAAGACAACCAUCUCAGGAUUCUGUAAUGCCCCGCACAGUGCUCCUUUAGUCUAGCCUUAGAGCAUUUUUGGUAAAGCAAAAAUCCGAGUCUAAAAAUUUCAAAAAUAUCUUCCCAAGUAUGAAACACUUUGAAUCGUAUUUUAUUUCUCUAAUUUCAACUUUUUGUCACGUAGAGCAUUGAAUAAGCUUUUCAUCGAUACCAAUUUCAUCAAAAUUCGACAUCAGACGAGGGAGUUAUGGCUGUUUUACUAAACGGUAUCGGAAUCGCCCAGGUUUGACGGUCGACCUGGCGGACCGCCAAGUCCUUGGUGGACCAUCAAGUGUCCCGUUAGGCCAAGAUAGAACAUCCCAUUUCUGGCCCCCGAGUGACGGCCAAAGUGGUGGACCGUCAAAAAGUUGACGGACCGUCAAGGGGUCCGUCAGGUCGAAAUAGAAUGGCCCAUUCCUGACUCUCGAGUGAAGGACGGUGUGGUGGACCGUUAGAUUCCUGACGGACCUUCUCUUUGACCGUCACAUCGAGGCAGAGCCUAACGUUCAAUAGUGUCCUAGGGAGACUGAAAAACCACAUCUAGUAGAGUCUUGUGCAUGGGUGUAUAGCGCGCCACAUUUAUGUACAAGAGGCUACAGGAUGUACUUAAGAGUAACUUCCCUUCUUUUAGUAUUUAGAUCGUGCGAGUGAGCAUGAGCUCAAGUUGAUCCUCAAUCUAAACCACUUGCUUCUUUCAAUUACAGAGUAUGCCUUCUCGCAUAGAUUUUGUCCAUGGGGUUGAUGACCAUCCCCCUCAGCCAAUAGAUCCUGAAAAUGAGAGCGUGUCACAUACAGAGUUUCGGGCAGCUUUCCAGGCACUAGCCCAGGCUGUGACUAAUGUUCAUAGGAACCGUUAGGCUACAGUCCCACCUCAGCAAGAUGGGGAUUCUACCGCAGCCUGGAUUAGAAGCUUUAUGAGAAUGAACCCGCCCGAAUUCUUUGGGUCAGUAGUAGGUGAGGAUCCACAGUUAUUUCUUGAGGAGGUGAAGAAGAUUACCCAGAUUAUGCAUGUGUCAGAGGAGGAGAGUGUUGAGUUAGCAUCUUAUAGACUAAAAAAUAUUACUCAUGCUUGGGUAGUGAUGUAGGAGGAGAGUAGAGGGGAGAAUGCAGCUUCUGUGACUUGGUUAGAGUUUCAGAGUGCCUUUCUAGAUAGAUUUUUCCCUCUAGAUAUGAGAGAGGCUAAGGUAGAGGAGUUCAUGAACCUAAGGCAAGGUUCUAUGACCAUGAAAGAGUAUUGUCUUAAGUUUAACCAAUUAGCUAAGUAAGAUCCUGACUUGGUAGCUGACCCUAGAGCGAGUAUGAGUAAGUUUUUAUCUGGUGUAUCGAAUUAUGUAUUGGAAGAGUGUAGAGCUGCCAUGCUCAAUAGAGAUAUGAACCUUUCUAGACUAAUGAUUUAUGCGCAACAGAUUAAGGCAGAUAAGAUGAAUGAGAGAAAGAGAGGGAGUAAGAGACCCAAGAUAUGUAGUCGUGGUCUCUCGUAGUCGGGGUCUCAAGGUGGUAGUAGUUCUCAGUAUGGUCAGAGAUUUUUAGUUCCAGCUCCGUCUUCAGCUAGUGUACUCGCACUGGUGUUUGGGGGUGUCAGAGUUGAGGGAGCGCCAAGCUCUAAAACCCAGAGCAGUACUAGUAGAGUUUGUACCUACCCAUUGUGUGAAGAAUGCGGUAAGAAUCAUAAGGGUGUAUGUAUAGCCGGUAGAGAUGUGUGCUUUAGAUGUGGUGAGACUGGUCAUAAAGUUUGAGACUGUCCUAAGCCAGGUCCCCAAAGUCAGUAUAGUUAUCCUUCAGGCUCUCCUUGAUUGGGAAAGAUCCUGAAAUAGACCCGGGUAAGUUAUGAGCCCUUCAUCGUUAUAAUAUGCAUUAUUAGAUCUUUUGCUUUUAUUUUGAGCUUAUAUGAUAGCAUGAGUCAUACCCGAGUUUCAGGUCUCAGUCGGUAAAUUAUGACCCAGUCGUAGGUGCUUCGCGCACCACUCUAGUAUUUUAGUGAUGUGUGUUUAGAGGGACAUAGAGUCCCAAGGGGGAGAUACCUCAUAGUAUCAUGAUGUUGCAUGCCAAUAGAUUCAUCCCGAUGCGUGAUUAAAUUUCCUUUAUAAUGUUAGCAUUAGUCAUUAUUGCAUUGUCAAGUCGUGCUUUCAGAAGUCAGCUUAGCCGGACAUUCAUGCAUUAGAUGUGCACCUUUAGUAGAAAGAGUUCAGCUAGUCAGCAUGUGUUCAGUCGUGUAUUCAUGAGAUCAUUCCAGUUACGAGUCCAUGCAUCAGAUAUGAAUAUGUGUUAUGAGAACUCAGCUAUGAGUAGAUUCAGUCGAGUAUUCCUUGCAUCAGAUAUGCAUGCCCGAUGUGAGAACUCAGUAUGUCAGUCGUUCCAGUUGCGUUGUCAUGCCUUGAGAUAUUUCCAUUUAUUGAGUAAGCCCUGUUGCUCUAUUUUCCCAAUCUAUCAAUGCGACAUUCGAGGACGAAUGUUCCCAAGGAGGAGAUAGUGUAAUGCCCAGUAAAGUUCUCUCUUAGUCUGAGCCUUAGAGCAUUUUUGGUAAAGCAAAAAUCCGAGUCUAAAAAUUUCAAAAAUAUCUUCCCAAGUAUGAAACACUUUGAAUCGUAUUGUAUUUAUCUAAUUUCAAUUUUUUUCAUGUAUAUCAUUGAAUAAACUUUCCAUCGAUACCAAUUUCAUUAAAAUCCAACAUUGGACGAGGGAGUUAUGGCCGUUUUACUAAACAGUAUCAGAAUUGCCCAGGUUUGACGGUCAACCUGGCGGACCUCCAAGUCCUUGGUGGACCGUCAAGUAUCCAGUUAGGCCAAGACAGAACAUCUUAUUUCUGGCCCCCGAGUCACAGCCAAAGUGGUGGACCAUAAAAAAGUUGAUGAACCGUCAAGGGGUCCGUCAGGUCGAAACAGAAUGGCCCAUUCCUGACCCUCGAGUGAUGGAUGAUCUGAUGGACCGUCAGAUUCUUGAUGGAACGUCACUUCGACCAUCACGUCGAGGUAGAAUAUCCCAGUUUUGGCACUCGAGUGACGGACGACUUGGUGGACCGUCAGAUCGACCGUCACAUACCCCGAUCAGUAGUUUUCAUCUCUUUUUCUUUAAAGGACAUUUUGGUCUUUUCCACUCUUUCUCCAACCUCUAUAAAUACUCACUUAAGGGUUGAAGGACUCAUUUCUUUUCUCUUCUUUCACCUAAAAACUAGGGUUUCCAAAAUAAAAAAUUCUCUCUUCUUCCACCAAAAAUUUAGAGAGAAUCAAGAGCAAAAAUCAAGAAUUCUUCUGAAGGCUUUCAAGAAAGAGUUUCCCCAAGGUAUGUAGAUGUUGAUUCUUGGGUCACUUUCAUCCAAGAAGCUCAAGUGCCUUUUUCUAAAUCUCCAAGAUUUAUGUUUAUAAAUUUUUUAUGAUUCUUGUGAGUUGAAAUUGAUGUUCUUGCUAUGAUUGAGUUGUAGUUCAUGUUUGUCUACAAGAUUAUCAAGCCUUGGCCUUAGUAUGUGGUAUUUGUGUGGUAAAUGGAUUAUGUACUUGUUGUUGAUGUUGAAUGACCUCCAAGAUGGGAUACUUAUGUGGUUUGUAUGAAUCUAUGAUAAUAUAUGAGUGGAAACAUGUAAAUUUGGUUGUUCAUGAUGAGUAGUUGGGUUAUUAUACUUAUGCCUAAGUUGUGCAUGUGAGGUGUUUGAUAAAAUGUCUACGAGACUAGAAAUUAAGCAUUGUAGUUAAAUUGUGAUUUAAUGACUUCUAAGAUACGAUUAUGCGUUAUGAUUGUUGAUGUGUUCAUGACUUUUAGGUGUAGAAAUGGUUGAUUUAGCAGAGUAUGUAUCCCAUAGGUUGAUAAAAGCUUAGAAGAAGAAUAUGGACCAUUAUAGCAUGUUGAAUAGGAAGCCCCAAAUUGUAAGCUAGUCUAUGCAUGCCUAGUGUUUGAUAAAAUGACCAAGUAAAUGAAUUAUUCCAUGCUAGUAGGAAAUCCCCAAAUAAGUGUGAACCUAUGCAUGUCUAGUGUUUGUUGAAGGACCUUAGUGAACGAGUGGAGAUGUAAUGGUUGUAAAUUCCCCAUUAUGUGCCCUUUGAUAUAUGCUAAGUUUUUAAUAUAUGCCAAAAGAUUAGCAGGUAAGCUAUGACAUGAUAGUAUGAAGUUUCCCAAGCGGUGUGAAAGACAAAUACAUGUUAAGACUGAUAUAGGUAUGAAAUAGUUGAGGUAAAACCUUGCUGAGUGGAGUACAAUCUAAUAGCAUAUUUCCUCUAUGUUAUUAUGUGAUUAAUAUCCCGAGAUUCUUAAAGCAACCCUUUGGUAAUUGUGAUGAUGAAUAGAGGUCUAUGUUUCCUAAAUGUUGGAUGUGAUGCCUUAAAGAUUUUGAGGGGGAGAAAGUAUGUUAUGAUUUCUAAUUACUUGGAGAAAUGCUUUAAUAUUUGUGAUGAUGCAUUAAUGAUGGUGACAAUUAAGGUAUGAUUGCAACAAUACAUGAAUGCUUAUGUUGAUGCAUGAAUGAUUGUGAUGGUGAAUGGAUAAUGGUGAUGAUGUGAGAAUGAUUAUGUUUUAAUUCUAUAUUAUCGAGUCCUGAAGGUAUUUAUACCCGACAAUAGAGCUAUUGUCUAAAGCCCAUGUCAGUUUCGCGAUAAUUCCAAUCGAGUCACGAUUCUCAGAACUCAGUGAACUAUAGAACUAUGUAUCUUUAGACAAGUGCGGAGCUUAACCAGGCUCUGUAAUCUCAAUUAUCUCUGUAAUCUCUGUAUCGCUAGUAAUCUAGCCUCCGUCCUAUAAUCAGCUCAGAUCUAAUAGUAUUGAAGUGAUUCAAUUCUAAUCUCAGAAGUGAUUUGAAUAAUCUAUUCAAGCUCUGCAUCGUUAGUCAGAUACUAUGAUUCGAUACCUUUUCGUCAGAUACGGAACUAAGUAAUCUCAGCGUAACUCAGUCAGAUCUCUUGAGAAAUAUAAUCAGUAUCAAAUUCAUCUCAAUCUAAGUUCAGUUAAGAAUUAGAUCAGUAUCUUUCAGUUGAGAGUAGAAACUAGCACCGAGCGAGCUCAAGGAUGGGGACUCACUUACUAGUGAAGGGUGUAAUCCUUAGAUGUGAUCCUUGUGCUCCAGAACUACGUAGCCAGCGUAGGUUGAGACAUCAAACCUAUUAGAUGAGGGGGCAUGAGAGACAUCAUACCUGCUAGAUGAGGGUAGAUGAGGCGGCUUGACCUGUUAGAUGAGGGCUCCACCAUUCUCGUAUGAGGACCUGAUAAAUGAGGGUCAUUUAAAGAUAAUGUCUUUACUCGUGGCACAGUAUUGACACCCUUCCAAUCGGGGAUAGAGGUUGGACCCCUAAGAGAUAGUAGGGGCAUGUCGGUUAAGUAACUAUUCCCACAGUUUUAGUUUCAGAUUCAGAAUCAGUCUUCAGAAAUCAGGACUGUCAGAUACAGUCAUCUAUCAUUGUGAAAAACUCAAAUAGUUCCAUCGAUUUAUGGACCAUCCCAUCAGAUAGACUUGGUAUCACAUAUAGUUAUUUGAUAUCAUAUUCAGAGGUAUGCCGCCAGACAGGCUUGAUCAUAGUAUCAGAUUCCUGUUAAGUAUUCUUGUUGUAAGAUAUCAGUAAAGGGUUAGAUUGUGGUCCUUCGGGUCCAUAAGCACCGUGUGACGUCACGAGAUGGGAUCUCGGGGCAUUACAAACUUGGUAUCAGAGCCUAAGGUUCAAUAGUAUCCUAGGGAGUAUGAAAAGACGCAUCUAGUAGAGUCUUAUGCAUGGGUGUGUAGCGCACCUCAUUUAUGUACAAGAGGCUAUAGGAUGUACUUAAGAAUAAUUUCCCUACUUUCAGUAUUCAGAUCGUGUGAGUGAGCAUGAGCUAAAGUUGAUCCUCAUUCUAGGACAGGAAACUUCUUCCUGGUAGUUCACUUGCUGUCUCAAAUAAAGAAUUACUUCAAAUGCCCAAGGGAAUAACAUAACACCAAUAAAUCAAAAGUAUUAUUAAAUAAAAAAAUAAUGAAUCAUAUCAUAAUAAAAGAAAUACUUACCAUGAAGGCCCAUGAAAAGUCAUAUAAGUUGAUUGUCUUUGGCGUUGAUAGAGUCAACAAAUAUUGGAUAGUCAUUUUGAAGCUUUUAUAACCCCAAGAAUAGCUGUUAAAUACCUCAAGAUCCUCGGAGAGAUUUAUUAAACCUGGGCUUAUGUUGUUGUUAACGUCUCUCGCCCAAAGAAUAUUAUGUUUAAACCAAACCAAGCACAAUGAUUGCUUGUGCUUCUUUGAGAGUCUUUUACCUUUCAACGCUUCUAUCAAAUUUUUAUUUUUGAAGCUUGGACCAACAAUGGACACUAGGUCUUCAUGAUCACUCGACUUGCCUUUGCUUUUUUUGAGUGUGCGAGGUAUUUAUUUUGGGUCAGAGUAGGUAUAACUUGAGAAGGAGAAGGAGGAUAACAUUUUAGUCUGGUAACUAUGGAAAACUCCUUCCAAUCAAAACAAACAGGCAUGCCACAGUAAUUUAUCCACACCCCAUCCAUCUUGUCUUUGUUUUCAUACAUAAACCUACGCUUGAGAAGAUCGUAUAACAUUUUUGUCUGGAAAUGAGCAUUAUUGUCCUCCGGCAAAUCAAGAUAUUACCCAAAGCAGCUUUCCCUGAAAUAAACAUCCAAUUUUGUUCUCGAAAUAUUUUUUUGAAGGCGUCGAAAGAUUUUCCCAUGGCUGACUUAACCACGAAGUCACCCGUUAAAUUUGUGGCACCAUCGCACUGCAUUCUCAUAGGAUAACGAUCAAUGCUGAAGGUUUUGACCAACUCUUCGGCGGAAGGGCUAUUAGCAUUUGGAUCAUCUCUUUUGCGGCAUUUUUUCUCCCCGUGUUCAUUAUCUUAUGCUUCUGAUUGAGAUAACACUUGUAAAGCAAGCUCAUAGAAUGGUGGAUGUAGCCGAGCUGCUGCACUUAUUCCUUUACUUGGACUUGAUUCAGUUUCUUUUCUUUUGGGGGCCAUAUUAUCUUAAAUUAAUAAAAACAUAAAAUAGAUUAUAAUUGAUUAAUGCAUCGUCAAAAAGGGAUAAUAGUAAAUAUAGCAUGCACAACGAUAAAAUAACAGUUCCAACAGACCACACAUCUGUUGCACCAGGUACGUUAUCUAUUACAACAUAUAACCGACAUGUUGCAACGGAGGAGUAAAUCAUUGGAAAUAAUAAAAAUAGAUCACUAAUCUAUUGCACCAGGUGUUUUAUCUGAUGCAAUAUAUAACCGACCUGUUGCAACGGAUGAGUAAAUCAUUGGAAAUAAUAAAAAUAGAUCACUAAUCUGUUGCACCAGGUAUUUUAUCUGAUGCAAAUAUAACCGAUCCAUUGCAACAGAUGAGAAAACCGUUGGAAACCAUAAAAAUAGAUCAUUAAUCUAUUGCACCAGAUAGUUUAGGUAGUUUAUCUGUUGCAACAUAUAACCAACCUAUUGCAAGGAUGAGUAAACCGUUGGAAACCAUAAAAAUAGUAUCUGUUGCAAUAUAUAACCAACAUGUUGCAACGAAUGGGUAAUCCAUUGGAAACCAUAAAACAGAUCACUAAUAUGUUGCACCGGGUAUUUUAUCUAUUGCAACUGAUUACCAACCUGUUGCAACGGAUGAGUAAUCUAUUGAAAACAAUAAAAAUAGAUCAGUAAUCUAUUGCACCAGGUAUGUUAUCUGUUGCAACAUAUAAAUAACCUGUUGCAACGGAUGAGUAAUUCGUGGGAAACCAUAAAAAUAGAUCACUAAUCUAUUGCACCAGGUAUGUUAUCUGUUGCAACAUAUAACUGACCUGUUGCAACGGGUGGAAGAUACCGUUGGAGACAAUAAAAAUAGAUUAUUGAACUGUUGAAACAUAUCACUCAUCUGUUGCAAAAUGAGUUAUCUAUUGGAUCAAUAUUAUUUAGAUUUAUUCCAAAUAGAAGAGUCGUCAGUCACAACAGAUGAAUGAUCUGUUAGAUUGUUCAUCUGUUGCAUCAGAUUUUCAUAGUUGCAUCAGAUUUUAAUCUGUCGCAUUAGAUGUUUCAUCUAUCUCAACACCAUUUUUACCAAGACAAACAACAAAUCAACCCAGCAACACCAACAUACCACACACACACACUAAGAACAUCAACUGUGAACAAAAAUCACCAACAAAUUCAAAUCAAUAGUACGACAACAAGAAGUAGAAAUGCCAGAAAUUAGGGUUUUAUUCAGUCCACAUUUCAAUACUAGAAGAGUAAUUGGCUCAAGUUCCUCUGUUUCUUCAUAAUUUUUUACCUGUGAAAAAAGAAAUGGGACGACGAAGAAUUCGAAGUUGUUGUCGCCGAAGAAGUCUUCACGUCGAUUGACGGUUGAAAGUCGAAAGGAAACUCGCCCGACUAUUUCUCGCCGGAGGUUGAAGUCGCCGGGGAUUGAAGGGCGAAUUUUGCAAAACUGUUGGUUGUGAGAGAGUUGAGAGAAGCUAUCGAGAGAGAGGGGGGGGAGAGAGACUGGUUGAUUUGGAUUGAAGAAGGGUGUGGGUUGAUUUGUAUUAUUGGAAAGAUUAGAAAGUUUUGAAAAUAUUAAUCAAGUCCACAGUUAACUUAAUCAAGUUUCCUAAUGAUGUUUGACCCUUUAAGUUGGUCAAUGUCACCAAUCCUUCAUUCAAGAAUUAAAAGACACCUUUCCUUCAAUUUUCUCAAGUGCCAUGGAGCUUUGUAUUCUGCAAAAUUAAAUUUGCUAUAAUCUGACACUAUUCUACUAAUUGCACUGGUCUGCUGGAUUUUAUUAGAUAGGAAUACUUACAAGUUAUCCAACAUUAAAUCCUGAAUACCAAACAUUAAAUAAUACUAAGAUAGGUUAUGAACGUGAACAAAAAAUUUAAGGAUGAUUUGUUAUUAUCACAAAAGACCAAGUAUAGAAUAGACCGUUACGUUUAAAAUCAAUGCAAUUGACAAAACUAAUUGGUCCCAUAUUAUAAAUACAUUUAUUUUACAUUCUCCCCACCUUACUAUUUUGGGUUUUUUUCUUGUAGCAGUAGGUUGAUGUGAUACUUUAAAUUAAAUACUACUACUAUUAAUAUACUCCCUUUUUUGUUGUCCUUAUUAAAAAUAUUUAUUAUUAAUUUAAAAUAAAAUUAAUUAACAUGUUUUAUUUUACCUUUAUAGCGUGCGUAUAUAUAUAUAUAUAUAUAUAUAUGAAGAGUCGUCAGUCACAACAGAUGAAUGAUCUGUUAGAUUGUUCAUCUGUUGCAUCAGAUUUUCAUAGUUGCAUCAGAUUUUAAUCUGUCGCAUUAGAUGUUUCAUCUAUCUCAACACCAUUUUUACCAAGACAAACAACAAAUCAACCCAGCAACACCAACAUACCACACACACACACUAAGAACAUCAACUGUGAACAAAAAUCACCAACAAAUUCAAAUCAAUAGUACGACAACAAGAAGUAGAAAUGCCAGAAAUUAGGGUUUUAUUCAGUCCACAUUUCAAUACUAGAAGAGUAAUUGGCUCAAGUUCCUCUGUUUCUUCAUAAUUUUUUACCUGUGAAAAAAGAAAUGGGACGACGAAGAAUUCGAAGUUGUUGUCGCCGAAGAAGUCUUCACGUCGAUUGACGGUUGAAAGUCGAAAGGAAACUCGCCCGACUAUUUCUCGCCGGAGGUUGAAGUCGCCGGGGAUUGAAGGGCGAAUUUUGCAAAACUGUUGGUUGUGAGAGAGUUGAGAGAAGCUAUCGAGAGAGAGGGGGGGGAGAGAGACUGGUUGAUUUGGAUUGAAGAAGGGUGUGGGUUGAUUUGUAUUAUUGGAAAGAUUAGAAAGUUUUGAAAAUAUUAAUCAAGUCCACAGUUAACUUAAUCAAGUUUCCUAAUGAUGUUUGACCCUUUAAGUUGGUCAAUGUCACCAAUCCUUCAUUCAAGAAUUAAAAGACACCUUUCCUUCAAUUUUCUCAAGUGCCAUGGAGCUUUGUAUUCUGCAAAAUUAAAUUUGCUAUAAUCUGACACUAUUCUACUAAUUGCACUGGUCUGCUGGAUUUUAUUAGAUAGGAAUACUUACAAGUUAUCCAACAUUAAAUCCUGAAUACCAAACAUUAAAUAAUACUAAGAUAGGUUAUGAACGUGAACAAAAAAUUUAAGGAUGAUUUGUUAUUAUCACAAAAGACCAAGUAUAGAAUAGACCGUUACGUUUAAAAUCAAUGCAAUUGACAAAACUAAUUGGUCCCAUAUUAUAAAUACAUUUAUUUUACAUUCUCCCCACCUUACUAUUUUGGGUUUUUUUCUUGUAGCAGUAGGUUGAUGUGAUACUUUAAAUUAAAUACUACUACUAUUAAUAUACUCCCUUUUUUGUUGUCCUUAUUAAAAAUAUUUAUUAUUAAUUUAAAAUAAAAUUAAUUAACAUGUUUUAUUCUACCUUUAUAGCGUGCGUAUAUAUAUAUAUAUAUAUAUAUAUAUAUAUAUAAAUAAAAUAGUCAAACUUUUUUUUUAAUUAAUAUUUUCUUAAGUGGUGUGUGAAUGAAAACACUGUAAUGGAUUGUUUGGUUAGGACAUAUUACAAAAAAAAUAUGCUUGUAUUGAUUUUGUAUAUUACUAGUAUCUUGUUUAUUGGGUACACUUUUUCUUUCAAUCUAUGUACAUACAAGAAAUAAAAAGGCCAUGAUAUGGAAAGUAAAAGAAAAAGAUAGAAGAAUUUCAAGAAAAUAGUUAGUUUAAAUUUGAUAAGAUUGAAGUAACAACAUAUUGGUUAUUGAUGGAAUCAAACGUCUUUACUUGAUAAAUGAAUCAAAAUUCGGAUUCAAAUCUUUAACAGCAUAGUAACAUUAGAUGACUAACAUACUAAUCACCUUUUAAGAAUACAAAAAAGUAAUCAAAAAUAUAAAAAGAAAGAUAUCUUACUACCUUGAACUAAUUCUAACAUAAUAAUAUACACUACUGAGGCCUCCAUUUUUAAAUCUUGAAAGACACAUCCUGAAUCUUGGAGAAUAGGGAAAAUGAGGAGGGAAUUACAAGGCAGGAAAUCGAAUUAUACCCUCAUUAAGAAGAUAAAAAAUUCAGGCAACUAAUCAAUUGAGCUACUAUGAUUUCCCCAUGUGAUUUGGUAAUGGAAAAGCAUGAAGAAUGGGGAGAUGCGGUGUCAUUGUUGGGCCGUUAUAUCAAAUCAAAAGGCUCAUAAUGUCAUUGGGUUGUUCUUGGAUCUUGUCAUCACUAAUUAUUAAGAAAUUUUGGCACCAUAUACCAACCAACCAAGGCUCUUAAUUGGUAACAUUAGUCAUGUUUUGGGAAGUUAGCAUAAAAUGGUCACUUCACACGUUUUGGGCCAGCAAAAGUAGCACCCAAUGAUCCAUAAAUAAUGGCAAACAACAUAAAUUUCAACAAUUUAAAGUGUAAUGAUAGAAAAUUUUGAUAUUUUACAUAAUUACUGAAUAUAUUGAUUUUGAAUCUAUCGAGAUACAUAAUAAGCUCCCGAUACAUCCAGUGAAGAUAUAUUUUUUUCUUUGUAAAGGUACACAAUUAGCUCCCGACACAUUUUUUUCGAUUUGGUGUCUGUCGAAAUACAUAAUACAUCCAAUGAUUUACAUUUUCCCUUAUAAAGAUACAUAAUUAGCUUCCGAUAUAUUUUUGCUAUUUUGGGUCUGUCGAGAUACAUAAUUAGCUCCCUGAUACAUCCAACAAAGAUACAUAAUUAGUUGAAUUUUUUGUUAGUAUUUUAUAAGGGUGAGAAUUUGUGUAGAUGUGAUAAAUUAAGGCAAUCCGGAGCCAAAAGGGCUCUUUUUUAAUCAAAAUUUUCAAAAGGGACACUUACUUUCGAAAAAAAUCAAAACGGACAAAACGUUGCGGGCCCAGCGACUUACAAGUCGCCCAAGGCCCAGCGACUUGCAAGUGUUCACUGUUCACCUCCUCCUUUUUUUUUUUAUUGGAGUCAUGUAUAUUCAUUCCAUAUAUCAAUUAUUAGUGAACCUUUAUAUAUGAUCUAUUCAAGUGUUAAUUGUUCGCCUCCUCUUUUUUUUGUUUUGUGUGUAUUUUUGUUUUGCACUUGUUCACUGUUAAAUUCCUAAUAAUUUCUAUGAAUAAUAAAAACAUUUAAAAGUUGCAAAUAUGUAAAUAUGUUUAGUAUUUAAUUUUCUAUUUUGUAGAAGAGGUUGUUUCGACCACCUCUUCCAAUUAUCAAAAAUUUCAAUUACUUCCACUUAAUUGCAUGCCAUGUCCCAAUAUAUAAUAAUUUCAUUGUUUUAUCAUAAUGGUUUAAAUAUUUAAUAUAUUCUAUUAAUUUAUAUUAAUUAAUUAUAACUACAUAUUAAAAGUAAUUUUUUUUAUUUAAUUGUCUAUCAUGUUCAAAACUAAUUUGUUACCACAAAUCACAAUAAUAAAUAACUUAAAAUAUAUAAAAGACAUAUAGAAAUUUUGUUGACUCUUACCAAAAAAUCCUCUAUUCUCACUUAAUUACAUAUCAUGCCCCAAAAUAUAAUAAUUCCAUUUUUUCAUCAUUACAAUUUAAAUAUUUAAUAUAUUCAAUUAAUUUAUAUUAAUUAACUAUAACUACAUAUUGAAAGUAAAUUUUUUUUAUUUAGCCUCAGGCGACUUGUAAGUCGCAGGGCCCGCAACGUUUUGUCCGUUUUGGUUUUUUUCGAAAGUAAGUGUCCCUUUUGGAAUUUUUAAUAAAAAAAAGAGCCCUUUUGGCUCCGUACUCAAACAUAGAAUGAAAAUAUUCACAACUUAAGAACGGUGAAAAGUUUCAACUCCCAAAUUUAAUCCUUCCUACUCAAACUUUAUUAGUAUCAUAGAAACCCCUUUCAAUUAACUUCUACUAUUAUGCAAACAUCUCAACAAAUACAGAAUGAUCUCAAGUUGAGCCAUUAAUCCUACUUCAAUGUUAAGAGCUUGCGGUACCUUUUCAGUGCUACUUAGGAGCUAAAAAAUUCAAGGAAACUACCAACAUUAACAUAUGCACCGAUAUUUUGUAUAUUUAUAUUUAUCCUUAACUUAUUCAAGAACAUGUCUUCCCAGAUUUCUUCGGAGAAGAACAAGUCUUGCUGAUUCACAAAGAAACAAGGUCGCCAAUUUUUGGUUUUCAAACAUCCUAUAUUUAGUGAGACCAUCAUCUAGUGGCUGGCACAUGAAUAAUAAAUUAAUCAAGGGCAAGUUAUACUAGUUUAGCAGAUUUAGAAAAUAGAGGUUCAAAACCACCACACUGAUUUCUAUAAUCCCAAAUCUUUUCAACUUAAAUAAAUCAUCUAGGCAACCACAGGGACAGAAAACAAUUAAAAGUUGGACAUACUGUUUAAACAGACCACCUCUCUAAGACUUGCAACUGAUCAGUUCAAAAUCUCUGAAGUGGUUGAAAAUAGUUUCUUUAAUAAGCUAUAUGUUUGCAAACCAAAACAAGAAAGGCUACGAACUAUAACAGUGUGAAGAAACCGCUCAGUCGGCCAUACUUUCAAACAAAAACCGUUUUAAGAGAAUAAAUUUCCACUUAGUUCUCAAUAGUUGGCUUUGGAGUAGGAUAGCGGAUGACAUUCAUGAAUCUUGUUUAAACAUAUUCAAGAUUUGAGAUUACUACUUCUAAAUCUAUGUUAUGAAAAAUUAACAUAAUGAUCUAUAAACAACUAACAAAUCAUAUUUCAAAAUCUAAAACCUAUAAAGCCUCUUUUCACGCUAUGCUAGAAGUUUAAAAUAUCACGUUUGAGAAAUGGCUAUCCCAAAAUAGUACCAACACAAUGUCGUAUUCAAAAUUCAAGCAAAAUUUACAAGGAUUCUUUGAUGAGCAACCAAGAAUAUGUAAAGUUUUGAGCUAUUCAAUGCAUUUUUCAGACAAAAUUAAGGGUGCUAAGACCUUGUGGACAUGCAAACGAAAUAGGAACAUAUCUAAGUCUAUAUUGCAAUGUUAAAGCAGCCAAACCAACAUCAAUAUAAACCCAAAAUAACCCACUGGCCUCUUAUCGGAAGGCAUAAAAUUCCUGGUGUCUAUCUCAAGCCAAUUAAAUCAUUUGAAUAAUCUGCCAACGUACUGUCAGGCGUGUACAAAGUCCAACCACAUGAGAACUAACACUUGGAGUUCACAUUCACAAUCAGUAAAACAAUACUGUCUGCUCUAUUUGAAAAUAUAAUAUAUUUAUUUGAAUCUGAUUAAAAACUAAGACUAUUUCAUAAACAUCUCACACAGUGUAAAUAAAAUUAAAUGAAAGAUAUCAUUUCAUUUCAUAUUCACGUCAAAAAUAGACCAACGGAUUCAAACCGUCACUGAAUCACAAAAUUUAAAUAUAUAAUAUAACAUAAUUUGAUGGGAUAGAAUUUAACUUGUAUUUGACAGAGAUUGUAGUCAUUGAGAGUCGUGCUUCAAACUAGCAUUUUCGACUAUGAUUUAAAGUGGUGUGGCGCUUCAGCACCUCACCCCUUAAGCAAGAGGUUGGGGUUCGAUUCCCACCUCUGACGAAUGAAGCAAACUCUAUGGCCAGUUUUCUACCGCUUAGUGCGCUUACCGAAGGAACGGAGAAUUAGUCUCACGGCUAUCGGUUGUUGGGAUACCUUGGAAAACCAGAAAAAAAAAAAAAAGAGAAAAGAAAGGAGUAAAAAUGAUGAUGUUAAGGAUGGGAACAAAAAAAAAGGAGGAGGUGAACAGUGAACACUUGUAAGUCGCUGGACCCCGGGCGACUUGUAAGUCAUUGGGCCCGCAGUGUUUCGUCCGUUUUGUUUGUUUUCGAAAGUAAGUGUCCCCUUUGAAAUUUUUGAUUAAAAAAAGAGCCCUUUUUGCCUCCGAACGUGUAGAAUUCUUGGACACUUUAUUCUCAAAUUUCUCUCGUCAGAAAAUAGCUUAAAAGUACGAAAAACAGCAGUUUGCAUCAAACUUGACCAAAUUACAGCACUAAAAUACUUAAAAAAUCACCAAACUACACAAAAAAAAAAAAUGCAUUAAUAAGGUCAAUAAACUGCACAAAAAACAGCACUAAACUGCAACAAAAGAGUCAAAGUAUGUUUUAACGAGACUAGAAGGUUGUCUAUCCAAAAUGAAACUACUUGAUGGAUAACCUCGUUAAUUUUUGUACUGAAAUCUAGUUCAACCUUCAAAUUUUUUCAGCCACAGAACUAGUUAGGAAUGACAAUGAAGAGGUGUGGAUACGGUGCGAUGCGAAUUUUAGACUAUGCAAGGUGAUGCAUAUUUUAGGCUAUGUGGGUGUGGGGCUAGUUGGAGUAAUUUUUAUUUUUUUUAAAAUAGUGCGAGGCGUGGCAGGGCGGGUUGCGGGAUUAAAUUAAAAAAGAAGAAGCUAAAAUUUAGUAUUAUUAUCGUGAAUCUACCAACAUUAUAUGUAUUUUUUACUUCAAAUUUUAUCAUACUUAAAAUGAGAUACAAUACUAUAAAUAAAUACUACUACUAUUUAUUUAUUUAGUUGAAGCCUUCUAUGAAAAUCACACCUUGUGACAAUCAGUGGCGGAGCCACAUUGGAUUCAGGGGGUCAUCCGAACCCCCUUUGCCGAAAAAUUAUAUUAUUUUUACAUAAUUAAAAAUAUUUUUAUGUAUAUAUAGUAGAUGUUAAACCCCUUUUGAUUAAUCCAUAUAUACACUUCUAAAUCUUCUCAAUGAAAAUUCUGACUCUACUACUGAUGACAAAAGUAGAGAAUUUUAUAAAUGAAACCAAAUUUUCCUAUAUUCUAACCAAAAAAAACCCUAAUAUUUUAAGGAAUAUAGUAGAAUUGGUCAAAUGUUAUGUAUAGCGUGCAUAAUAAAAUAUUACCAACACAAGCAAAAGGGCAGAAGAAGUUAAAAUUAAGAAAUGGAAAAGGCAAAGCAGCCAACAGGGAGUAUUCUUUCAGAAUAAAGUGGAGCCAUUAAAGUCGUUGGCUGCCUGGCGACUUGUAAGUCGUUGGGGCAGGCGACUUACAAGUCGCUGAAAGCUAAGCGACUUAUAAGUCGCUGGGUCCACAACAUUUUAUUCUUUUAUUUUUUUUAAUAUUAAGUGUCCCCUUUAAAAUUUUUGAUAAGAAAAAGUGUCCUUUUGGCUCCGGAUUCUUGCAUACACCAUAUGUAUAUGUAUGUACAUUCUAGUUUGUAAUUUUUUACUGCAAUUGAAAUCUGCACGCAUAAAAUGAAUACAAAAGCAUGUUGUCCUUUGUGGUUGCUGGAUUUUACAUACACGCAUUAUAUACAUCUGUUGAUAGAUUUUUUUACGUCAGUUGAAAUUUGUUUAUGUAAGGUAUAUUAUUGUCAUUUUUUAUUGUUGAUUUUUGCAUAAAAGUUUGUAUGCAUUUGUUGAUGUUUUACUGAGUUGAAAAUCUAUAUACAUUAAAUGUAUCCACUUGUUAUACAAUAAAUUUUUAUAUCAUUGCCGUUUAUUGUAAUAGGAUUUUGAAUACACAGUUUAUACAUCUGCAAAUUGGAUACAUAUGCUAGUGUACUAUUUUGAGAAAAUUAAAUUCGUUCAUAAUUCAAAUGAUCAGUUUUUAUCCUUUUUAAUUCUAUUAAUUUUAAUCAUUCCUCGCUAUACAACUGGAAUUCUAACUCCAGCAAUUAUUCAAAUGUACAAUGAUGUUUUUUCCUCAGAUUUUAGGGAUACACAUAAAACAAAAGAAAAAGAAUUUUUCCUCUCACGUAUGCUAGUGUAUUAUUUUGAGAAAUUACACUUGUCCAUUAAUUAAGGGACCGAUUUUACCUCUUUAAAUUCUUAAAUUAUACUAGUCUUAAUGUGGGCGUCUCGUUUCGUCUCACCUUUAAAAUAAUAUGAUAGUGUUAUGAAUUUCGAUCCUAAACAAAUGAAAAGAUUCAAGAUAUUGUCAUAGAUUUUAAAAAUCAAUAUGUUGUCAUGAAUUUCAAACUAAACGAAAGCAAAGUUCCAUAGAAGUGUCCUGAAUUUCGUCUUGAAUAUUAUGAUAGGGUUUCACUUCAUAAAAGUCAAAUUCAUGACAAUCAUAUGAAUUUGAUAAAAAAUUAACUAUUUUUCAAUCUGUGACCAUUUCUCAGCUACACAAACACUAAGUUUAUGUAAUUAAUUAUUACAAUCAUAGGCUACGAGCCCACGAUAAUUAAGCAAUGAACUGAAUUUCAUUCUAUGUAGAUAGAGAAGCUGCAAAUAAAACCUAUAGGUAAAACCAUCCAAAUGUGUUUAGUCUGGAAAAUGUUUGUCAUUCUUUUAGUUUUAGGGGAGUUUCUCAUCCGAGGUGCGAUACACACACAUAUUAAAAUUCAAUUAAAUUUGAACUUGUAUAAAAAAAAUCUCAUAUUAAUCUGAAAAAUAAGAUUUGAGGAAAGACAGAAUUUUUUUUUUUUUUUUUUUUUUUUCACAAUUUGAGGAAAGACAGAAAAAAAAAAAAUUUCAAGUGUACCGAAAGUGAAACCAAUAUCAAGAGUGGACUGCUCUUGACAGUUUGAAAUGAAAUUUUUUGAAUAAAUACAUGGUACGCAUCCCAAGGAUUCUGUCAUAACAAGCACCAAUCACGGACAGAAGAGUCAAGAAUGUAACAGCUAUGAUUAUAGAAUUAUUGUGAUAAUAUUGAGGACGGGUUCAAAAUCAAAAAAGGGGUACAAUCACGUUAAUGAGGACUAAAUUAUUUUGGAUUUAAAGUUUUGGUAUAAUUUUUGCAUUAAUGUAUCCGGAAAUAAGAUAAAAAUAAUUUUAAAAUGGACGAAAUAAAAUUGAACAUUCAUACUUAAGUUUGAUAUUAAAAAUUUAUAUCGUCAAUCAAAGACAUUAUAAAUUUUAUUCUAAAUUUAGUCAUAGAAUAUCAUUUCUUAUCUUGCGUACCAAGGUGCAAAUUGUGUUGUGGUUCAAUUGUUGAAUGUCCAAAAGUGCAAGUCUGUUGUUAUGACCUUUAAAAUUGGAUUAGAGGUUAUUUGAUAUACGGACUAAAAUUUUUGAGAUAAUACUCUUUUGACUCCUGACAUAUAAUUUUUAUAAUAAUUUAUUUCAUUUAGGAGAUGGAAUAAAAUAAUCUUAACUUGGAUGAGAUAAUGUAAACCCUAAUUAUAUGUAUGUAAGUAUUGAGUAUCUUUGUUUUCCACCCAUUUUUUCAAAUCAAUUAAAUGUAGAAAAAAUAACAUAAAUUUCAAUAGUUGGAGCUUAAUUGCAGAAAAAUUCGACAUUUUGUAUAAUUACUGAAAUUCUGAUUUUGGGUCUGUUGAGAUACACAAUUAAUUUCUAAUACAUCUAACGAAAAUAUAUUUUUUUCUUUGUAAAGAUAUAUAAUUAGCUUUCAGUAAUUUUUUUCGAUUUUAGGUCUGUCAAAAUAUAUAAUACAUCCAACGAAUAUAUAUUUUUCCUGUGUAAAAAUACAUAAUUAGCCCCUGAUAUAUUUUCUCUGAUUUUGGUUCAAUCGAGAUACGUUAUAGCUCGAUACAUCCAACAAAGAUGUAUAAUUAGUUGGUAUUUUUAUAAUUACUUUGUAAGGGUGGAUUUUGUGUAAUAUAAUAAGUUAAGGUGUAUGUUUAUAUUAUUUUUUCUUAAAUGUAUUUGACUAAUCAAUUUUAAAAAUUACUUUGGAGCAACAAUUAAUACUUAAAUAAAAAUUUAAAUUACUUUUUAACUUCUGAAAAAUAACUUUUCUGCUCCUAUUUUCUUCCAAAAACUUGACUAAAUAUUUUUCUUUUGCUAAAGAUUCACUUUAUUUAAAAAAUAUACUUUUGGCCUUAAGAAAACUGUCCAAUAAGUUAUUAGCCAUAGAAAACUAGAAUCUCCGGCUUAAUCUAAAAGAUUAAACUAUUAGAAGAAUAAUUUCUGAUUGAAUUCUCAUCAUGGGCAAACUUUUUUUUUUUUUUAACUGAAAACACAUAUAAAUUUUAAUCGAGUAGUCAUUGGGACUUGGUGUCAGUUUGGACAACAAUAUUUUUCCCUUUUUCAAUAUAAAUAUUUUCAAAACAGUGUUUAGUUAUGCAUUAAAAUGAUUUUUCUUUUUUUCUACUAUAUUAGAAGUGAAAAUAGCAGUUUAAUUUCAACAUGGAUACUUAAAUCAUUUAAUUUAUAUUUAAGAAUAUUUUAGAUUUUGUAAAUGCUAAAGGAAAUUAUGGCGUGCUAAUCAUAAAAUUGGCCACCGGAAGGUUGGCUAUCUAAAAUUUUCUUUCAUAUUCAUUGUCUUCUACUGCUUUAUUUUUUGCUCUACUCUUUUCAGUCUGGGUUUGAACCGUAUUCUUCCACUCAGUUUUUCAAAUUUUAUUAGUAAUUAUUUUUGUGUAAUUUAUUUUUCUAUCUGUUGAUGGCCUUAAAAGUUGGUGAUGCCAAAGGCAAGGCCCGUGAAGUCAUAAGUGGUGAAAGGAUAUACUCAAUAAGUGAGUCCAAAAGCUAAUAUUUUCUUCUCCUACAACUAUGUAGUAAGUUGGUUCGGUUUGAUUCGAUUUAAUCUAUAACUAGAUGAUUGUAAUUAUUUUCGUGUAAUUUAUUUUUCUAUCUGUUGGUGGCCUUAAAAGUUGGUGAUGCCAAAGGCAAGGCCCGUGAAGUCAUAAGUGGUGAAAGGAUAUACUCAAUAAGUGAGUCCAAAAGUUAAUAUUUUCUUCUCCUACAACUAUGUAGUAAGUUGGUUCGAUUUGAUUCGAUUUAAUCUAUAACUUGAUGAUUGUAAUUAGCUCAGUCGUGAUAUAUCUGUUCGAUUACCUAUGAUGGUCCCUUCAAAGUGACAAAAAAUAUAUUUUGAAUUGAUAAAUUAUAGGUUUAAUCAGAAUUUUUGAUUUGUGAAAUACUCCUCUUUCUAAAAUUCAAACAUGAGAUUGAUCUUAAAGUCAAGUUAGAAAUUUUUUCGAGCAUAGAAUUUAACGUUUCAUUUUUUAUAUCUAUUUCUUCAGGUUCUUAUCUUUUUCAUCUAUCAAUUUUUUAUUGUUCUAAUUUAUGUAGCACGGUUUGAAUUUUAAGAUUCAAACUAUUGAAGUUUGAUUGUGAAUUUAGGGAUGAAAUUCGAAACAUGCCAACAUAAAUUGGCAUGUAGGGAAUGUUUCUUUCAUCCACUUUUUAUGGUUGAUUAAAGUUUUCAAGCUCUUUUAUAUGGUUGUGAUAUUGUGAAAUUACUACUCUACUAUAUUAGAAGUAAGCAAAUUUCAACAUGCUUUGUUUCACUAAAGGUAUUUUCUUCUUUUUACUACUAUUGUUUGCGUGUCAUUUAUUAGCUGAACGGGCUUUUGCGUGUCACAACAAGCAUGUAUAGUCCAGUUCUUUUCAGUUCCUUCUCCUACUUUCCAUUUUCGAUAUUCUAAAUCAUCUCACAGGUAUUUUCCUCUUCUUCGCCCAUCUCUUUCUUUUUUCUUACAUAUAAAUUAGGAAAAAGGUUGCACUCUCUCUUCUUGCAUAGAAAGUUUCAUGCUUUUUCUUUAUCUUGUUUAAUUUUGAUUUAUAUUUUUCUGCAUAUUUGAAUCUCUGCACCUUCAAUUUUGUUUUGGUUAUUUCGAAUUUUUGAUCUCUCUACCUUUAAUUUUGAUUUUUCAUUAUUUGAUAUUUUUGGACUCUGAUCGGGUACUUCAAAGAUACUUCAUGAAAGACAAUUUUCCCAUCAUCUUCAAAAGUUAUGUAAGAUUUGAUUUUUUAUUUAUUUUUUUAAAAAAGGGUAAAUUUCGUUAUAUGUAAAGGAAAAAAUAAAAGUUUGUUGUUACACUGAUUACAUUAACUUUCUGGCUUUGUUAAUUUUAUGAUUCAAUGUUUUUAUCCUCAGAUUGUCACCCUCUGUUUUGAAAUUAUUUUGACUUGUAUUAUGAAAUUAAGCAGUACUUUAUUUUGGACUGCUACAUAUGUCUUUCGCAGUAGCAUCUACUCAUUAGUUCAUCUUCUUUUUAACCUUCAAAUCUUGCGUCAAUUCUCUAUGUUUGUCAAUUUCAUUCUUCCACUGUUUGUGGAUUUUCGAUCUUUGAUUGGUGAUGAUACGAGGUUUAAUAAAGUUUAUUUAUUCCCCCGAUUCUUUUUCUCUUUUUAUUUUUUUUCUUUGUUUUCAAUAUAAUUUCAGGAUAAAUUGUUAUUAUUAUUUUUUGUAAUGUCUAUUUUCUCUUUUAAAUCAGCCGUUAUUGGAAUUAUUUUCUCCGACCUCAUUGUACUAAUUGAAUUUUUGAUUCUUUUUUGAACUGCAGUGCUAAUUUGUGGAUCUUGUACUGCUUUUUGGUAUUGAAACUGCAGGUAUAUGUCGCUUCAAAUUAAUUUUACUGAUGCUUCUUUUUUUCACGAUUAUGUGCUUAGUUCCAUGUCGGCUAUGGAAAAGGAGUUUGGAUUCUUUAUAUUGUUUGAGGUUGAGUUAGAUGGUGUUCAAUGCUUUAGCAUCACAUCAAAAUCGUACAUCCCAAACAUUAUUUCAUAUAUUGUCGUGCCCCAAUCCCAGUAUUGUUCUUUCUUCUCUAAUCCUUCGUAAUGAUUCCUAUCAAAUUAGUGACUUGAAUCCAUCUUACAAUUAGGGUGAAGGAUGCUUACCACCCGUGCAACCCCAUCUUAAUAUUUUUCAUGUUCCAAAAGAGCAAAAUAAUAUUAUGUUACCUUUGUCUGAAAAAAAAAAAGAACAAAUAAAAAUUGCAUUCAAACAAGAGACACCUACGUGUGAACAGAAAACAAAGAAAAGAAGUGACAUAUUUAUCUCCAAUUACCUUGCUUCUAGGGAAAUUUCAGCAUUACUAUUCGUUUGACUGAUCCCAAUUUUUUUUUUUUAUAUACUAGACAUUAGUAAUAAAUUAAAUGCGCCAUUAUUGACUGUGUGUUAAGAGAGUUUGGUGUGCUGUGGGUUUUUGUAUAGACGCCUUUUUUUCAUUUGGAGAGAAUUUAAUAGUAAAAACUUAGAAAAGAUUGGAAAUUACUACUUACAAUCAGUUGAACUUUUAAAAUCAUUUAUUAAUGAAAAUUGUGACACGAUGAUGGAAUAGGUAAACUUUCUAAUAUCCAGGAAGUCAUCUGAUUUACAAGGCAAUAGCCAUUAAGGACGACAUUGAGCUGAAUACUCCCCUCGGUGUAAAACAAUGAUUAAUAUGAAUGUUAUAGUUGAAUUUUUCAAAGGGAGAACAACAAAACGCAUUUUAAGUAAAUAAAUAGAUUAACUCUGCCUCAUAAUUAAGAAAGUGAAGUAGCUACUAUCAUUUUGGAAUAUGGUUGGCACCACUCCUUUGCUUACUCGACUGCUAUAGCCAUUGAUAGCGCACACUUUUGCUGACCACUUCUUGUAAAUUGUCAAGUCACUUCUGCUGUAACAUCAGGUACAACUUAUAAUGUCCACUGAACUAUAUAUUUUGUUUUCUUCUACGAUCUAAGUGACAAUUUUUGCUUUGAUAAAAUAUCAUCCAGUUUAGGAACUAAUAUGUAUAUUUGCUCUGCGACUUUUAGAAUCUGUAAAUAACAAAAGUGGUUCUUGUGGAGCGAUAUCCUCUAUCCAAACUGUAGGUGAGGUUGUGAGACCAUUUCUUCAUAUCUGACCUUGAAUUUUGUAAGUGUUGAAAAUCGAGAAUCAAAAUGCAAGUGGUUUGUUGUCUCUAUAUAACUUAACAUACCUCUACAUAUUGUGAGUGCCUAUUUACUUAUGAUGUAUCUCUAGCUUUCUAUCGGAAAUAACCUCUCUUCUUCUUUGGAGGUAGUGGUUUGGACUGCGUACAUUUUACCCCCCUAAACCCAACUAUGUGGGAAUACACUAGGUUUGUUGUUGUUGUUGUCGUUAUCGCUAGCUUUCUAAAGAAUAGUAAAACAAAAUAGCAGCUGAGUAGUAUGCAGUUGUGCCUACCUCUUUUUCGCUAGAAAAGAAAAUUGAGGCCCCAUUUCAGCCACACUGCUUUCUUUGGUCAAAGGUUAUAUGAACUUGGUAGUGCUUUAAAAUCUUUUUGACUUAUCACCUUCUACUUUCCUCUUUUAUGUCUACGGAGUAUUAUUUUUAGAUGCCCCCUUGAUUCUGGACGAAGCCAAGCGGAUACAUACACUAGGCAAAGGAAAAACCACCAUGUCAUAGCACUUGGCUAGAGUCGAGAAUCUGUCGAAAACAACUCACAAAAUAGAGUAAGAUUAUGUACACACCACUAUUAUAAAGAUAAAUUUUUGGAGCUUUUGUUUCAGAUUCCUAAGUGAAGGCAGUGUGAUACAACAUUGUCUAUUUGAGCGCUAUCACUAUAAAAUUUAAUAGGAGUCUGUUAAAACUCCCUCACGUAUCCCAGAAAACUUCAGAAUCGAGGUAUAGUCGUUCCUGCUGCAAGUAGUUGCUAAAACAAUACUCUUUUCCACUUUGCCAUUCAUGUAUGUACAAUUUGUUGUAAGAAUAUACCCUUUAGCCUUUCUUAGUUGUAAGAUUAUUGAGUUGUAAUUUGAACUUGUCAUUCCUAAUUAUGAAGACUUUGCUACUCCUAAUGAUUAGUUGCUGAAUUUAUAUGCUAUUGCAUCGAUGGACACAUUUAUGGUCUGCUUUCUUUUCUCUUUACUUAAAGGUUACAGUUUCACGGGAAGAAACAUGCCUUGCUAGAUCACCUGGCAAAUUUAUUUGUUAAAUGUUAAAGCAAAGAUAUAAAAUUCAUCUGCAAGCAGCACAUUCUUUAGCCUUGCAACUUUUUCAUUUUGUCCUUCCAUUUUGUGCCUUUUCUUUUCUUGUAAAUGUACAUGUUUGGUUUCUUCUGCAUUGGUUGAGCAUAAAUAAAUGCAUCUAGAUUAAAACUAAAUUCAUUUCUCCUCUUCUUUCCCAGGUAUUUUGCUGUCACAACACCACAAAGAAGGCAAAAUGCAGCACUAUGUAAAUAGUCUAGAAUGUAAGCAAACGAUUGUCAAUUAUAUAUUAUUUAUGUGUAAAUAACAUAUGUAUAUAUUUGCGUUCAGCACGCAAAAAAUUUUCAACUUUGGGCCCGUGCACACGGGCCAUUACUACCUAUUAUGUGUAUAUAUAGAUAUUUUUUAACUACAUUUUAAUUUCUGAAAUUCUUUUUUACAUGGAUUGUGUUCUCCUGACAUUCAGCCAUCAAAAAGGACUCGGCAAAAUGGGAAAGUCCAGGGUCACAUCAGAAACUAGAAACCUGGAGGGUAUAUCUCUACUAUGGGGUGGUAAUACUGAGCUUCUCAUGCAGUCAAUCACGAACCCACCACAACAUCAAAGGAGUCAGAAUCGAUGCAGAAUGAGCUAAAUCAAUAUCAAACCAAGAUAUGUUCUUACCCACUAGAGCUAAUACCCAUUCAAGAUGGGGCUUUCAGCAAAAAGAAGCAGCACAUCCACCCACCGGAGAGCACAAAAAAAAAAAAAAGAACAAGUUAGUGCAGUAUUCGAAUAGGAGAUAGAGAAGUAGAAAGUACUCACUAUUGAAAGCUGAUACACAAGCAGUGGGAGCAAAGCAAAACCAUUAAUGAUCCAGAGGAAAAGAAGCAAAAGCUGGUGAUUGAAUAGCGUUGGCAACGUCAGGUUCAGGUGCUCAGGGCGGAAGGAAAUAAAGGCUGAAUUAGGAAACCCUUGUUCUUAGGGUAUAUGUAAUAGAGAUAGUUGGUCAAAUCGGGUUUUCGAAUUGG